rnacentral:lncRNA from 1 species
CCUGCUGUCCUUCGGCGUGGGCGCCAACAACGACGAGGAGGUGUUCGUGACCGGCGGGAACAGCGUGCUGAAGCAGCUGGACGAGGCGGCCAAGGCGCUGGCGUUCCCCCAGCAGGCGAGGGAGCUGGCGGACAGGGUCAUCCGCGCGCAGCCGGAGUCCGUGUUCGUCCCCGGCCCGCAGCAGCAGCGCCGCGUCGCCGACAUGUGAGCGACGAUCUCCAGCGCGCGCAUGCGGUCCCUGGAGCUGCAUGCAUGCAUGAGUGUACAUGUGAGUGUGACGGGAAUAAAUAGCUAGCACGGUACUGCGUACUACAGUACGUGCGUGUAGCAGAGGAGAGGAGAGGAGAGACGAUGCUUGUGUUCGUGCGCGGUUAUGCAUGAAUGCAUGCAUGCACGUGAGUUUUCUAUGCAUGUAGUAGUACGUGAGUUUUCCGGUAAUAAAAGACGUGACCUUGCCCGUCGGCUCGUUGGAACAUGUCGGUGAAAAUUGCACUUUUACUCCUACAGUGACGUGUCAGUGUCACAUAGACCGAUCGAUCGAGUAACAGACAAAAACAAGACUUGUCAUGUACCGGAACGGAAGAACCGGAGCACAGGCCAAGCGAUCGACCUGAGUCACGCUCCUCUCGCCAGCCACUUUCCUGCCGGAGUCAGGACAGUUACUAGUAGGACGAGCGAAGCACGGGGAGUGACCACCAGCAGAGCAGUUCACAGACAGCAAGCAAGCGCGAGGAUCGAUCGAUCGGAGCGGCGGCGAUGGACGACGACUUCGGCUGCGUGAUCGGCGUCGCGGGGAGGGGGGAAUUCGCGGUGGUGGCGUCGGGAACCCCCAUCGUGCACCUCGACUCCCACAGGCUUCUCGCCAUCUCCGGCAACCAGCAGAACCGGUAACCACCGAGCUAGAUCCAAUCCACCUCCACCCGCCUCGCUCGAUCCCGGCCACCUUCCAUGGCUUCUGACCUCAGCUUCCCGCCCGUGUUUUGCUUUGGCAUGCAGCGCAAGGUUCGCGAGGACGAUGUGCCGCAGGUGGAAGGGGCUGACCGGGGUGCCGUACCCCGACACCGCCACGGUCGCCGACCUCGCGCGCGAGCUGCUCGACCGCGGCCACUCCGUCGAGGCCCUGGUCGUGGGCUACAACCAGGCCCAGCCCCACGCGGCGGUGAGCUGCGUCGGCCCCGCGCUCCCGCGCGGCCAGUUCCUGUUCGGGGCCGCGGGCCGGGGAGCGGAGGCCUGCAGGGCGGUGCUGCGCCGGGGCUACCGCGACACCAUGUCGUCCAGCGACGUGAUCGAGCUCGUGGAGAGCUGCAUCGCGGAGAUCCGCCGGCUCGGGGUUCCCGGGGCUGCCGGCGAGUUUGCGGUCCAGUAUGUCGACAGAUGGGGAGCGGCGCCCGUGGGAAGGGAGGUCAGGGAGACAAUGGCUAUCUAUCGACAGAUGGCACUCGAAGUGUUAAAAUCACAUGGGUUAGCCCUCAACCCCAUUCUCCGUGAAGAUCACAUCGCUUGUGUGUUUGAUCGAGAUUGACGUCCCGCCCCCUUUUGAUUCAGGGCAAUUGACGCCCUCUAAAUCCUGAUCGGUACUAGAGUACUUAUAGGCAAAGGAUGACUGACUCGGCUAAGAGCAUCUCCAAUGGAUCCGAAAAUCUUCCCCACUAAGAGCAUCUCUAGCAGACGCGCUUCGCUUUGGCGAGGUAUAAUUCUUUUACAGCGCCAAAAUAGUCUUUUUACGCGCGGGAGCGACGAAAAGGUUUUCCAUAUGCACAAAAACACAAAAACACGGCGCCCAGUCCGGCGGCCCCACCUGCAGCAGCCCAGAUUUUGCAGUGCGCACAAUCCAUGGCCCAAAAUUUACAGCCAGGGAUACCGCUUUUAGCAUGUGCGCUAAAGUUUUUGUGCGUGCUCGCAGCCCAAAAUUUGCAGCCCGGGAUACUGCUUUUAGCACGUGCAUUAAAGUUUUUUGUGCAUGCUCUAUUUUACAGCAUCUGCUGAAGCGCUGUUUUUUUGUAAUGGUUACAGGGGCUACCCAAAUACCUGCUUUCAGGUUAUUUGGAGAUGGUUGUUUUUGCAGACCCCAAUAACCCCAUCCCGCAUCCCAAUACCCAACUUGACAUAUGUGCNNNNNNNNNNNNNNNNNNNNNNNNNNNNNNNNNNNNNNNNNNNNNNNNNNNNNNNNNNNNNNNNNNNNNNNNNNNNNNNNNNNNNNNNNNNNNNNNNNNNNNNNNNNNNNNNNNNNNNNNNNNNNNNNNNNNNNNNNNNNNNNNNNNNNNNNNNNNNNNNNNNNNNNNNNNNNNNNNNNNNNNNNNNNNNNNNNNNNNNNNNNNNNNNNNNNNNNNNNNNNNNNNNNNNNNNNNNNNNNNNNNNNNNNNNNNNNNNNNNNNNNNNNNNNNNNNNNNNNNNNNNNNNNNNNNNNNNNNNNNNNNNNNNNNNNNNNNNNNNNNNNUGCAAUGCAGUCAACGACAAUGGUGCUUUGCGGGUGGGCGCGGCGGUGCGUGGCCAACAUCAGUUGGUGGCGGCAGUGAGGGUGGGGGUGGCACUGUGGUCAGCGGUGGUUGACGAUAGGUGUGGUGGUCGUCAAUGGCAUGGGCAUCAUCAGGUGGGAGGGUGAUUUGUGUGGGCUCCAUGGGAUUGGAGGAGGUGUUGGCGGAGACAUGGGCGGAGAUCUAGGGAUUAAGUCAACUGUUUGGAACCUUCAAAAUUACGAUGUUUGUUUUUUGGAUUGGUAUUUAUAGUUCUUUACUAAAUUGAUACAACGUUUGUUUUUGGAAUGCUAAUUAUGAUGAUUUGAUUGAUUGAUACAAUGUUCAUUUUAUGGAAUGCUAAUUACGAUGCUUUAUUUGCUAAUCACAUCAUUUUCAAGCAAAUAUAGGCCAUCAGAUCUAAGAUAAUGAAGGGCUGAUAUUCAAUGUUUCUACCACAACUAGCUUGUUUAAUAGUAGUGGAGACUAGAUGAACAUUUUUUUAAUAACACACUGAACAUUUGUUUAUGUGUACGAGCAAAUUUGUAAAUGGAUUGAGAAUUAGUUAUUUUUUUGUCAGUCCCACUUAAAAUAAAUUUUCAGAAAAGUGGAAUUUACUUUGUAUUUUCACAAGUAAAGUGGGCGCGAACUUCCUAUAGAAGAUUGGAUUAGACUUAAUUUUUUUGAGAGUUGCAUAGGAAAGGGUGGACAAUAUAUUAGAUUCGUUUGUAAGAGAAAACAUUAUGUAGGUGGUGGAACAAUUUUAAGUAACUGCUACCUUUUCCAUGUCCUCUUCGAACAUUUUUUUGCAUGAUACCUUAGGGCGUCAGAAAAAAUUGGUAUGUUCUCUCUCUAAAUAGAUUCAUAUGUACAUGACUCGAUUUUUGCAAGUUGAAUAUAGAUUAUCACUUGGUUAAUCAAUCCAUGGUGUGUUUGCCCAACAACCUAGGAGGGUUGGGCAUUAGAGAUCUAGACAUCAUGAAAACCAUCUUACUUUCUAAGUGUUGGUAGAAAGUGUUCCAUGUAGAUGGUAUGUAGCAACAUUCCUUAGAUGAUAACCCAACACAUCAUACUCUAGAAUAGCUGAAAACUGGAGUGGGCAACCCACACUUUUUAUAAAGGUUGAUGCAGGUAGUCUUCAUUUGGUUUUGUUUGUAGGGUCAAAGUUGGGAAUAGUGGCAAACUAAAUUUUGGAAAGAUCGAUGGUUCUUUGAUGACCAUUUUUACACUAUCUUCCCAUACUGUACACAAUCUUCUUAGAUCCCUAUAUUACUGUUAAAAAAGUUUUUGCAUGUUAUUCUUUAUCCCUUAGGUUUUAGAGGGUGGAAGUAAGAAUUUAAAGAGAGUAAUGGUUUGGCUUAAGGAUCAUGGAAAAAAUGUCUCUAAAUAAAAAUCCCCACGAUUAGUUUGGCUAUUGUCAGAUUCGUGAAACUUUUGUGUUUUGUUGCACAAAGGUGCUAAAUCUGAGAGAGAGUGUCUCUUCUAUGGGAGUAAUGAACCAAUAACAUUAGCCGAUCUUUCAAUCUUGAUUGGAGGAGCACUAAGGCAAGUAUUUUAACUAGGAUAACUCUUCAACUUAUUGAAGUGAUAUUGUGCAAAAGCAAAGCAUAGCUUCAUAUUAUCCUAUUUUAGUGAAUGUCAACAUUGAAAUUAAAUUUUGAUAAAGUGGGAUUGUUGUGUGAGCAACCUAACUAUAGAUUUGUUGAAUUUGAGGGUUUCAAAAGUCACAGACUUCCUACAAAAUACUUAUGUAUACCUUAAGAUGAGAAAGUUAUUAUACUUAUGUAAUGGAUGGCUGCAAGGAAAAGGUAGAAAGUAGAUUAGGUAUUAGCCCCCCAUGCAAAAAAUAUUAGGUGUUAGGAAAGGGAAGACACUAUCCAUUGGUGGCGGAACAGUUGAAUUAAUUCCUCCCUUUAUAAUGUCCCUUUGAAGGUGCUCCCUUUUUACAAGAUACCUCAUGGUGCCAGGAAAAAAAUCAUUACGUACAAGGUUGCAUUUAUGUGGAGAGCUGACAUGUUGAAAAUGAAAUAUUAAAUCGGCCCAUGGUCUAUCUGCCCAAGGACUAAGGAGGGUUGGCAUUUUAGAUUUGGACAUAAUGAAUAUGGCUUUAUUUUCUAAGUAGCUUUAGAAAUGGUUCAACAGAGGUGGUAUGUGACAACAAUUCCUUACUACAAAAUACCUCACACAUUAGACUCUAGGAUAGUGAAAAUGGGAGUGGGAAACACACAAUUUUGUUAGGAGCUAUGGUGUUGGGCCAGAGUUGGGAAUACUGUCAAACUUGAUUCUAGGAAGAUCAAUGGUUCUCUAAGGAUAACUUUUACACUAGCUUCCAUUCUAUUAAUGUUUUAAAAGUUAUUACAUGUGAUUUUAAAUCUCUCAAUUUUUGGAGAGCAGUAGUAGAAGUUAAAAUAGAAUAAUGGUUAUACUUAUGGACCGUCUGUAAAAAAAUGCUUCUCCAAAUUGACAUCCACACAAAUUUGUCUGAUUGCUAAGUUCAGGAAACUUUAGUGUUUUGUUGUAGGAGGUGGUAAAUCUGAGAGGAAAUGCAUCUUGUAAUGAACCAAUAACCACCUGCCAUUUUCCUCCCCCCACCAAUACACAACACACAUAUGGAUAUCAUUAGCUGCUCUUUGAAUCUCGAUUGGAAGAGCACUUAGGCAAGGAUUGCUAACUAGGCUAAUUCUUCCAUUGAUUGACGUGAUAUUGGGAAAGACAAAACUCUCAACUUCCUAUUGUGCCUAUUUUAAUAAUCUCAACAUUGAACAUAAUGUAUAUUAAGGGGAAUUUACUGUGUCAUGUGACCAACUUUAGAUUUAUUGAAUUUGAGAAUAUUCAGAAUGGGCAAACUUCCUAUGAGAAAAUGGUUAUACUUAACUAUUGUAGAGCUGUGAGGAAAAUGUGGUAAGUAGAUUAGGUUCUUGGCAAGGAAAGAAAAUGUCCAUUGGUGGUACAAAAACUUCAAUUAAUUCCUCCCUUCCUAGUGUCACUUUGAAUGUGAUAUCUGUUUACAAGAUAUCUAAGGGUCUCAAGACGAAAGACUGAUAUAUACAACGCUAGAUUUCUAUGGAAUCGUGACAAGUUGAAAAGGAAAUAUCACUUGGUUAAUUAGCCUAUGUUUUGUCUGCCCGAGGACCAAGGAGGGUUGGGCAUUUUACAUCUGGACAUUCCUUUACUUUCUAAGUAGCUGUAGAAACUUUCUAAUUUAGAUGGCAUGUGCCAACAUUUCCAUACUAAGAAAUACCUCACACAUCAUACCCUGGGACAAGUGAAAGUCAAAAUGGAAAAUUCACACUUUUGGCACAAGUGUAUGGAGGCUAAAUCCUGGAUUAGGGUUGUUGGAUGGUCAAAGUUGGGAUUGUGGCAAGACUAGAUUCUGGGAAGAUCAAUAGUUAAUGAUUCUUUGGUCAUAGUUUUUCCACUAUAUUUCCUAGACUACAUAUAAUCUCCCUUGACUUCAUAUCACUAUUGAAAAAAAUAUCUUAUGGUUCUAACUUCUAUAGAUUUCAAUGUGCUGGUAGGUAUUAAAAGAGUACAAUGGUUAGGCUCAAUGACUGUGUAUGAAAAUGUUUCUCUAGAUGGAGAGUCUGGAAUAUUAGUUUGGAUGCUCUUCGAUGUUGUCAGGUUCCGGAAACUUUAGUGUGACAUAUUUCUAUUAUGGCAUGGGAAAACAUUGGGUGAUGCCUUACAAUUUUUUGUGGAGAGUAAAAAAAUCCUCUGUGUAUCAAACUUUCCCAUGGCUGAUGCUUAAAAGAUCAUAUUGAGUAGAGAUGUUUUUUACACGAUGGUACUAAAUCUUAGAUAAUAUGCCAUAUAUGUUGGAGCAGUAAACCAAUAAACCACAUAUUGUGUUCCUAUCUACCGAACAUAUAUGUAUGGGAUAUCAUCAACAGAGGUUCGCAUGCAAUGAUGAAUGCAUUAAUAGACAUGCUAGUGGUUAGAAUAGCAAUUAUGUUUUGGAUUACUCAGAAGGUUAAGUAUAUUACAUGUAAUACAAAAAAUGUCUAAUCAAGCCAAUGAAUUAAUGUUUUGUUGAAUAUUUUCUUUUGGAUUGAUUGGUGGAUCUCUCUGCAGUGAAGGAGGAUCUAGUGGAUCAGCUUAGCUAUUGUGUAAAGCUAAUUGAACGCAUCGCAGUUGGCAUCUUCAAAACUGGGGGGGGGGAGCUGGGCAUCAUGGAUCCCAAGUAUGGUCAUGUAAUUUCCUUGAGCAACAAUGGAGGUGAUGGUGUUAUUGGCAGUGCUUAUUUAGUCGUUGUUAUAUUUUAAUCCGCACCUUCGUCGUGUAUUUGGUUCAUGGUUGAAACCUUGAGUGUUGUUCUGUUGUGUCGUGAUGAAAAACCUGUAGAACAUUCAGGUUUCCAUUGAUGGUAACUGGCGAACAACUUUUAUCUAAAGUAAAACUUAUGUUAGUAAACCACUUAUCUUGUUUGGUUCUCUUAAAAUUCAACCCUGAUUGCAAAUAACAAGUCGAAUAAUAAGAAAUGUAUCUGUAUUUUAGUUAUUCACUUGUUGCUAUUUCUCAUGUGGCGAUUGUUUUGGUGUCAUCAUAAUUUAUGUACAAUCUUACACUUGGUGGACCUGAUGAUGGGAAGCGAGGUCGAGAGCCAUCAUGGACGUAGUAGAGGCUAACACAAUGUUGUCCAUGUCUAUACGCAAUGCUGACAGAGGGGUAAAUAUUGAGGAGAUAUGGCUAGAGUGAUUGGGAUUAUGGGUGAAAAUCUUGGGGUUAAGAUUUAUGGGUGGUGUGGUCGUCAUCAUAGCAAAAGGGCCAUUGUUUCCUAUAAGAGGAGUGACGGCCGAUGGUGGUGGUGGAGCAUUGACAAUAUUAGGAUGGAGGAGAAAUAAUAAGCACAUCAUUAUAAAGUUGGAGAAAGAGAAUGGAACAGGGUCGGCGCUCCUCAGUCCAGAGCGAGAGGGCAAAGGGUGCUCUCGUGUGACGUUAUGGUGGAGUUGUUGCGGCGAAGUCCGAUGGUGACAGCUAGGUGGUGUAGGUUCAUGGGUCACCGAUAAAACUGAGAAUGGUUUUAUCUAAACCGGGUGUGUUGGGUCAGUUUUGCCUCAUAGUUUUGUUUGGUUCGGGUGUAAUGGGCCCGUUCGACAACAGGUUGGUUUAAGUUGGUUUCUUGUACAAAACAGUUGGAUAUGGUCAGUUACGGGCACGAACCGGUCUGAUUCCACCUUAGUUAAGCCUACUUUCUCACCCGGUUGGGAAACUGAUUUGUAGGUAUCUCUCCCUAGAUAGCCCUUAAAGCAACCACAAGAUGAUAGGCCAUGGCUCUCACGACCGCGGCCAACGGCGUGUGAGCACGCGGUGGCUGCUGCAAGGAUCAGCCUGCUCCAGCAACGUCCGCGACCUCCGCACCCAAAUCCGGCAUCCCAUGCGACCGCCGCGCCUGGAUCCGGUCUCCUCUGACUCUUCCCUGUGGUAAGCGCAUGGGGAAGCCAGCUCUCACAACCGUGCUAGUCGUUGUGUAGGCGGCGGCUGACGCCCUGGUCUCCGUGCUUCGGCUACCUCAGCGGCCGACGAGCCCGGACCUGGCUCCCGCGUCGAUUUCUCUAUCCUCUCCCCAGGCCUGCUGCUCUUGGAUGGCCCUCUUGCAUCGUCCCCCGCGACGGAUGGGCCCAUGCUACCGCCGGCCGGCCCUCCCUUCCCCGACUUCUACAACCACUACCUCGGUUGGAUCCGGGCGACUCGCCUCUCGCUGAGCGCCAGCCCCAACGAUGCACUAGGUUUAGUUCGGCUUGGGUGUAAAGAUUGAGUGGUUUGGUUUUGGUUGGGCCGAUGAAAAUAUAGUAUGGUUUAGUUUCGGUUGGCUGAUACAAAUAUUCGUGCGGGUUCAGUUCGGUCAUGGUGCAGUUUAUAAACCAUUCUCGGGUUGGGUCACCAUUGGCUUUUCAUGUGUUUGUCAGUGGUCCGGCCUCUCAUGUGACUCUACUUGGGAGCUCCUAAGUGGCGCCAAGCGCCACUUGGAGGAACAGGUGCUAACGCACUUGUAUUCAUGGGCCGGCCCAUUAGAAGGUCAGCGCUCGAUUACGUGACCAGUUUCCACGCAGUCGCUCGAUUGUGGUUGACCAGUUGACCGGUCAACCUUUGACUUUGAAAAAAGUAUGAAAUUUUUCGCAAAAAAGAAUAAUUUCAUGACUUAAAAAUGUUCAUGGAUUUUGAAAAGAAGUUCACAAACUUUAAAAAAUAGUUCACGGAUUGGAAAAAAAUUCAUUGAUUUUUUUUUCACAAAAGUUGAAAUUUUUAAUAUCAGUUUUGAAAAAAUUUCAUUGAAUUUGAAAAAUGUUCAUCGAAUUUAGAAAGUUCCACCAAUUUUAAAGAAAGGUAGAUCAAGUUUGAAAAGGGAAAUCAUCAAUUUUGAAAGAAUUCAUCGAUUUGAAAAAGUUCAUGCAUUUAAGAAACGAAAAAAAUAGGAAAAUGAAAAAAAAAGGAAAUGUAGAGAAUCCAAGUGAAAACACAGAAAAAAACUAAACAGAAAUGACAAUGGGCCUGCCCGUUACUAGACUUAGUGUACCGUAGGGUGUGCGCGUGUGGUGGCUUAAUGGGACAAGGCGCACAAGGUGAUGCAAACCAAUUUUUUUAUAUUGAACUUUUAUACUUAUUUUGAACUAAAUGAACCAUAUUAAAAUAUUAAUUAAUAUAGUGUUCUAUUGCUUAGCCACAUAACAAUGUUUCCAAACAUUAGUUAUAUUAUUCAUUGUUAUACAGUUGUAAUGUAUAUCAUUGAAUUUUUUUCUGCAAAAUUUAAAUUGUAUGAUGUACCAAAAAUUCCGUUUCUUGUUUAAAAAGGUAUUGAAAUUUAUUUUUUACUAUUGCAUAGAUUAUAUAGUGUAUAUACAUAUAUUUGCAUAUCUAUGCGUUUGUUUCCAUAUCGUUUAAUAUUAUUGAAUGACAUGGUAGAGAUUUCUAAAUCAUAUACACACUGACAAAAUUUCAAUAGUGGUUUCUAAUAUAUAUUAGGCACCAUGUUCGUGGAAAUUUCUAGCGCUUACAAAUGUGAUUUGAAAGUUGGGUUCAGUAAUAGAGUCAUCAAAGAAUAAAAAAUGUUGUUGAUUGUACUUUUGUGUAUGAUUUGAUUAUCUGACAUGAUCGUCUUGAUUUACUUGGUUUGAUUUGGUGCUUAUCCAUUUCUCAAAUGAAAAAAAUUAUGCAUUGGUUUAAACAUUGAAAUCUAGUUAUCAAAAAAUUUCACUAUGAAACUAAGACAUCCACCAUAAAGAGAGACUAGCGUAUCUAAACUCAAGGUUAGUCAGAUUGGUUUGCCUUCACAUGGUAUAAAUUGUUAUUAUAUGGUGUGAACUUGCGCUCCUGCAAAUUGAGGCUUAUUUCUAUAUUUAAUGUUUUAGAUGUAAUGUAUAAUUUUUGAAUCCUGGUAAAUGUCACAUGUGUGGCACGAAUGCAUGGCAAUUCCGAACGUUUUUUUAAUCGCAAGCUUAGUGACGUGAGGAUGACAAUUUUAGUUGUCAAAGUAUGACAACUUUCAUACUUCAAAGGAUGGCAACUUUAUUUUUCGGGUUUGUAAUUUUUUGAAUGGUAGCUUUAAUUGUAAAAAAGCCAGAGCCCGAGUGCUUCACACCACACGUGUGACACUUAUCAUUUGAGUAAUUUUUUAGUGUUUAUAUACUACUUCCUCUGUUCCUAAAUAUAAGUUUGUUUAGAGAUUCCAACAUGGAUUAUAUACGGAGCAAAAUGAGUGAAUCUACACUCUAAAAUAUGUCUAUAUAUAUCCUUAUGUAGUUCGUAUUGAAAUUGCUAACAUAAUUGUGUAUAGAAACGGAGGGAGUAGUAUAAUGUAUAGUAGGCUGUCGCCCUUUUACCCGGCCUAUACGCCAGCCCUAUUUUCACAAGUAAAGUGGGCAAACUUCCUAUGGCUUAGACUUAAUUUUUUUUGAGAGUUGCAUAGGAAAGGGUGGACAAUAUAUUAGGAGUAGGUUCUUUUGCAAGAUAAGACAUUAUGUAGGUGGCAGAACAAUUUUAAGUAAUUGCUCCCUUUUCCAUAUCCUCUUUGAACAUGUUUUUUGGGAAAUUUUUGUUUUUGCCACUAUAAUUUUUGCCAAUUUUGCUUAUGUCACACUAAAAUUUGACAUUUCACUUUUGCCACUCUUGCUUUUGACAAUGUAUCACAAUUGUCAUUAACAUGACGAGCCAACCACUUAUAUCAUAGGAGAAAAACAUUUUGCUAACCAAAUAUGGACAUGGCCGAGCUAACCACUUAUCGGUGCGUGUUAUCAUCCGGUUUUUAAAAAACCUUUUCCUUUCCGAAUUCCGGUCUAGUUUGCGGCUCCGACCCCAACUCGUCGUCGGCCUCGAUCCGAUCUACUUAUAGUAGAUCCCCCUAGUCCUCUCUCGUAACCUAGGAACACCGUGCGAGCACAGCUGUAGCUACGUGAUACGCACGGAGAAGUACCGACCGAACGUGCUGCACAACAGCAACACGAGGGAGACGAUCAUGGACAGCGUGUUCGGCGUGGUGGGCGGCGGCUUCGCGGUGGUGGCCGCCGGCACCUCCGCCGCGGGAAGAAGCGUCGUGUUCAUCAACCCCGACAACGACAGGGUCACGAGCCUCGGCUCCAAACUGCUUCUCGGCGUGUCCGGCGUCCCCGGAGACUGGUACGUAAUCCACCACGAUCGAGAUUAAUCAAUUCUCACGCUCCUUCGCCUGAGUCUUCGAUCAGUCUUUGUGAUCCUCGCCUGAGUCCUCCAUGCUUUUGUGUUUCGUAGCCUGCGGUUAAGGGAUGAGGUGAGGGCCAGCACGAGCAAGAUCCACAGCGCCGCCGCGGCUGCUGACGUCGCCCGGGGGGCGGUGAUCGGCUGCGCUCAGUCCGCGAACGCGGUGAUCGCCGGCUACGACAAGGCCGAGGGCCCGACGAUGUACGCCGUAGGCGGCACUGCGCCGCCGGAGCGGGUGGAGCAGUACCGCACCGCUGGGUGCGGGGCGGGCCUCUGCACGGCGGUGAUGGAGAACCACUACCGCCCCGGCAUGACGGUGAAGGAGGCUGUGGCGCUCGUAGACAGGUGCAUCAAGGAGGUCCGGCGGCUCGGGCUGGCUAGCUUCGUGAUCAUGGUCGUGGACAAGGAUGGGGCCAGGGAGUACACCAGGCGUAUACUAAGGCCGAAGGCGGUGAUAGAAAUAAAAUCCAGUCAGGGAACGCCUAUUGUAAGCACGAAUAAUUAAAGUAGUGGUAGUAUAUUUUGCGUAAAAUUUAUAUACAAACUUGUUUGUAAUUUGGAAAUUUAAGUGGGGUUCAUAUACAUGUUCUUUCUCACUCUUACCGGCUAUCUCCGCCACGUUUAUCAAACCCGCUCUGGAGGCAUUGUUUUGGCUUGACCGCCCCCUUGGGCACCAAAGGAAUCACUAGCUCCGGUUCGUCGGACCCGCCGGUGCCCGUGCGGUCUAUAGCGGUGGAAAUUGUCUGUUGGCCGAUACCUCUUGGCCGACAUCAUCCUCAAGUCUGGUUGUCCACCUGCCAAUCUCCUAGGCGCAACGGUGGAGGGCCAGCGAGUCUAGUCUAUAGUUUUGGUCGCGUGUUCGAGGUGUUUGGCAUCGAUUGAGGCGCGACCUUGGGCUCUAUGUCCUGCCUCAUUGCCAUUCGUAUGUUUGUCUGGCCCAGCCGUGGAGGAGUCACGGUUGAAGCAAACCACAGGUCAAUUUUUUUGGCAACAUUUGGAGUUGAGACUUUCUUAUCCCUCUUGUUACGACGGAUCGAGCAUAUGAUUCUUUUCUUGAUUGAAAUCAUUCACUUUUCCUUGAAAUCAUCACAAAGUAAUUGGAAGAAGAAGUGCUUGAGAAGCUAAUGGAUAUAUAUUCUAUGGUGGCUUCUCCAAUAGUUCGAGCCAUAGCUUCAUUUCAUUGUUUCUAUAAUUUUCUUCACUUUAUCAUUGCCCUCAAGUACAAGUAAUUUCUGACAAACUUUCUUUCCCAUGGUUCGGGUGGGCACGGAUAUGGAUGGCAGGACAUGAGUGAAGAUCCCUCAGCUAAGGGCUAGACCGGACGUUUCACUGUCUGAUGACGAGUGCACACAAAUCAACCCUAGAAGGAUUCUGCUAUGUCAAAAGUGUUUAUAUAAUCGAAUUGUUUAACGCCAAGAUGCCAAUAGCAAUGAUGGAUAAAGCAACUCCCACGAGUAGGGCUCGAAAGCCGGGGACUCUCCUGGCAAAGAAUCUGAACGAUCUGAGUUCUUUUUUGAGAAAGAAGAAGAUGCAAGGCAUGGAUCCAAGCCUGAAGGCGACGUGGAGUGUUAUUAUUAUCGUUACUCCAGAGAAUGGGAGGCACUCUCUUCUUGCAAAAUGCAGUUAUGAAAUCUGUAAUCUAGAUGAUUCUGGUUGAAGGGGACGAUGCAGCCUAGCGGUUACGAACUUUUUGUUCGAUUCAAAGGAUUUCCACUUAAGUAAAGCUAUGGUGGGAGGAAUUUUUUUCGAGUAAUUUUCUUUUGGCAAUAUGAAAAAGGAUGGGGAAAAUCUAUUAAAAAUCAAUUUUUCAACACUUCAAAUCAUCAAACACGUAGCAAGUUACACUCCCACAACACAUACAUCAAAAAGGCAAUUAAAUUACCCAAAGUAGCAGGAAGGCUGAAGCGGGAAGUAGGUGCGGCGACGCAAAGUAAGGGCAGAGGAGACGGGGAAGAUGCUCGGAGGCAGAAGCACGACAACCUCGGCCCGGGGAGGACAUGAUGGUGGCGACAACAGAUAGCAGAAAGCAGCAUCUCGACUGUCAGGCGCAGCCGCACCAGCGGAGGCUGGGUUUGUUGUUUCAUCGACAGUCCUGCUCGUCGGGACUCGGGAUAACUAAGACGGCGCCGCGGGCAGCUAGUAGUCAGACAGGAAGCAGCAACACGAUAGUCGAGGCACGCUUUGGGGGCAGGGGAAGGUCGGGGACAAGGAGGAUGAACUGCAAGAGCUCGCCAGGUUAGGCCCUGUACAAUGUUGUUAUCUUAGGUGUGCCACGUAGAAUAAGUGCUGAGAUGGUAGAAAGAGAAGUUAGGAAAAAAAGGUUACUUUUUUUUAAUCAAGAGAUGAUAUCUUAGCAUAAUAUGUCUCAUCACAUUUUUAGAAAUAGCUAAUUAUCGAAGAUAUGGCUAAGGGAUAACACAUUGUACACAUGUUUUUAGUGCCAUAUCUAAAUUACAUGAAAGACUUAAGAUAAAGACGGUCAUAUGAACCAGUGUACAUGCAUUUAGACCGUGGUCGCGUCUGGGUAAGGGGAUGUAUGCGUGUUUACGUGCUUGGGUUAGGUCGGCCAUUCCCUAUUCGGCGCUUAUGGCGCCAAUUACAACAUGUUUUUCUGUAAACUGACGCCCACCGCAAUCGGUCGCUCGCAGAACGGGCUGGCCCAUAUUAGCCACCGAGCGGCACUUCGUCUCGUUUUUUCGAAGCUCAAUCGAUUUCCGGACCUUACCAACCCGAUUUUUCUUUUUCACUUUGAUUUUUCUGGACCGGGUCAUCACUACUUGUUGUCUUUUUUCCUUUUUGUUAUUCACUACGGUUUUAGUUAUAUUAUUCUUUUUCGCAUUUGUUUCCUUAACCACGUGAACUUAUUUUAAAUUUAAAUUUUCACAAAUCUUUGAACUUUUUAAAAAUUAAAAAACCCUUCUCCAAAUUCGUGAACUUUUUCAAUUUUUUUUGUGAACGUUUUCAAUUCCGUAAGUUUUUAAAGAAAUUGUGAAUAUUGUAAAAGCAAUUCUGAGCAUUUUUUAAUUUAUGACCUUUUUCUUCAAAUUUUGUGAAUUAUUUUCAAUUUCUGCAAACUUUUUCCCAAUUUUUAAUUUCUUCUUUCAAAUUUGGUGAACUUAUUUCUAAUUUGAAAAACAAAAUCAUUUUUUCAAGAUUUCGAACUUUGUUCAAAUUUAUGAAUUAUUUAUUUUUCAUAUUCAACGUGUACUCGUCGUCAGUCAUCAGGUCAAAUGAAACAAAAACCCAGAAGAAAUACCCAGGCGACGACAUAGUAGAUGGGCCAGCACUAGAGCGGAGGCGCCCCUAUGUUUCGCUUAGGGCGAGACGAAGAGAACCCUCGCGUCAAGGGCAGCGUGAGAUGGGCCUGCCCAGGUGCGCUGUAGACCACCACAUUGUGUUUAUUUUGCUUUUUGGUUUUUUACUUUUGUUUAUACUUCCAAAUAUUAUUAGUAAAAUAUAUUACAAAAACAAUUGGAUGAAACAUUUUUUAAAAAAAGUUAAUCAAACAUUUUAAAAAUGUUAAAUGUGUAUAAAAAAUGUUUUUGUUAUAUACGAAAAUACAUAAUGUGUGUGAAAAGUUUAUCAUGUACUUAAAAUAAUUUAGUCAAGCAUUUUAAAAAGUUAAACAAUUAUUUCAAAUUUUUUAAUAAAACAUUUUAAAAAUGUUAGAUGUCUAUAGAAAAAAUGUUGAACAUUUAUUAAAAAAUGCUAAUCUUUCAUUUAAAAAAUGUUAAUCAAGCAUUUGGAAAAUUUUAAUAAGUAUAAAAAAAUAUGGACCAUGUAUUAAAAUAUUUAAUAUUGUAUUUAAAAAUGUUAAUUGAGCAUUUAAAAAUAUUAAAAUUUUGUAUAGAAAAACUUGACCGUGUAUUUAAAAAUGUUAAACUUGUAUUUUAAUAAUGCUAAACUUGCAUUAGGAAAAUGUAUUAGAUAUAUAUACCAAAAAUGUACAAUGUGUACGGGAAAAAUUAGACAUAAAAAAACAAAAUUUCGAAUUUUUUUAAUCAUUUAUUUGAAAAUGAUAACCAUGUAUAUUAAAAGAAGUUUCAAAUGUAUAUGAAAAAUCUUGAAUGUGUAGUGAAAAAAAAUUAACACGUGUUGAACCAAAAAGAAUCAUAUGAAUGAUAGAAAACAAGUAAAAUGAAGAAGUCCCAAUAAAAACCGAAAAGAAAAAAAAUGAAAAACCCGAAGAAACUAAUUUAAAAGAAUGGAAACAAAGAAAACCGAGAAAUAAACAAAUAAAAAUAGAGGAAAAAAAAUGAAAAACCGAUGACAACCGCUGAAAGAAAACUGAUGAAAAAGCAAAGAAAAUAGAAAAGCAAUAAGAAAUCGCGAAGAAACAAAGGAAAAAGAAAGGAAGACUAAAAAUAGAACAUAAAAGAAAAGAACCCGUAUUAUCCCGAGCGAGAACCAGCGAGCUCGGCGAAAAACAAAACAAACUCAGCGAAGGAAAAAUCAUGAAAAUGGGUCAGCCCAGUAGCUAUACCGCGGGCGUAAAACCUUUAGCGAGGCCUAAGGUAAUCUCACUAUAAACGAGGUAUAACAUAUGCGUGGUAUAGGCGCUCUCAUUUGGUCGUGCUAGGGAAGAGACUAGCCAGCCCAAACUAGUAUUCGGGCCUUUUUGUGUUGGGCUGAGCCCAUGCCAAAAAUAAAAGUCUAUAUUUACACAACUAAACAGUCUAUUGGUCUUGAAAGUUUGAAUUUAGGCAUUGAAUAGUGUAUCCAACCAUUAAUUGGGCUACAUCUGAUAACCUAGAACGUUGGGAUUCACGGCCAUACUAGGGUUCUGUGUUAUAUGGUUGUUCCAAAACAUUCAUGUUUUUUAUUAGAAAGACAAAGACAUCUUACAUAUGAAAUUAUCAAGAAAAACAACUAGUACAAUGAUAAGACACCUGGUAGCAGAACGAGCAGUUAAAAAUGAAAUUACAAUGGAAAUCACACUAGACUUCUUCCUCCGAUUGAUUGCCACUCACCAGAGAUUGAAAAUCAUACCGAACCAAUAAUAAGAGAAGAGGCACCUGCAAAUGCCCUCACCACACUAGGCAUUUAAAGACCGCGUAACCACUUGCCGCUUGAAACGAGAUCUAGAAGUCGGUGAAUAAACAUUAGUUGGAGCAUCAUGCCACGUAGGACAUGUUUGCAGUCCAUCCUACCUGCCAUGAGAGUUGGAGAAACCGGACCAUGCUGUAGAACAACACUGAAGAAGAUGUUGAAUUCGUUGCAUCAAUAGCUAACCAUGGCUCUCCUUGAUUGACAGACUAACUACCAAGAUCCAAACAAACCCAACAUAUCUGGUGACACAAACUCUUCAUCGAUGUCGGACCAAUCGUCGUUGAGGUAGGGAGAGGUUGGAGAGGCCUUAUUCAAACACAUUAUUGUCGCCAUCACUUCAUCAAUGCCACCAGAGAAAACAAACCUAAGAAAAAGACAAGCGAAAUAGAUGGGUCCCCACCCCUCUUAACGCCGACAAGGUUGUCAGACAGAGGAGAGAAGGGGGACCAAGGUGGCGGCAUGGAGGAGACCCUUGGGGGUUGUGGCUAGGGUUGGCAACGGAAGAUGGGGAUCUAUUUUUCCUUGAAACAUCCAUGAAUUAAUACAGGGUCAAUGCUAUCUCGAUGACUGGAUUGUUCUAGAACACCGAGUCAUCGACCCACCCUAGUACAUGCCUAUUUCAGCUGGUUGGAGCCAAUUGAAUCAUCAGUUCCACAUACUCACAUAUCUUGGAGCCAGGAGAAUCAUUUCACCAAAGCAGACAUUGGCAGCCAUACUUGCCUUGUGGCUGAACAAAGAAAUGAACUACUUCCCUACUAUUAAGUCUGACAAAAGGAAAAAAUAGAAUGCAAAUCGGAAAAGUAAACAAAUCAAUACAAUGCAUUACCCACAUACAUGGUAUCACCUACUAAGCAUUUUCCUCUUGGAAAGCUAUAGUAAAUGUUACAUGAAACAUAGCAAUAGGUGCCGCGAAUUUGUUUAAACUGCAUAUUCCUUGCAUGUGAUAUUUACUGACAUAUGAACAUGAGAAUCUUCCUUAUGAUAAUUCCAAGUAUUUCGUUUCUGUUUCUGUUUCAUGCCCAAUGUUCAUUUUGUUGGGGAACGUAGUAAUUUCAAAAAAUUUCCUACGCACACGCAAGAUCAUGGUGAUGCAUAGCAACGAGAGGGGAGAGUGUUGUCCACGUACCCUCGUAGACCGAAAGCGGAAGCGUUAGCACAACGCGGUUGAUGUAGUCGUAUGUCUUCACGAUCCGACCGAUCAAGUACCGAACGCACGGCACCUCCGAGUUCAGCACACGUUCAGCUCGAUGACGUCCCUCGAACUUCGAUCCAGCCGAGUGUUGAGGGAGAGUUUCGUCAGCACGACGGCGUGGUGACGAUGAUGAUGUUCUACCGACGCAGGGCUUUGCCUAAGCACCGCUAUAGUAUUAUCGAGGUGGACUAUCGUGGAGGGGGGCACCGCACACGGCUAAAAGAUCAAAUCAAUUGUUGUGUCUCUAGGGUGCCCCCCUGCCCCCGUAUAUAAAGGAGCAAGGGGGAAGGUGCGGCCGGCCAGGAGGAAGCGCGCCAGGAGGAGUCCUACUCCCACCGGGAGUAGGACUCCCUCCCUUUUCCUUGUUGGNNNNNNNNNNNNNNNNNNNNNNNNNNNNNNNNNNNNNNNNNNNNNNNNNNNNNNNNNNNNNNNNNNNNNNNNNNNNNNNNNNNNNNNNNNNNNNNNNNNNNNNNNNNNNNNNNNNNNNNNNNNNNNNNNNNNNNNNNNNNNNNNNNNNNNNNNNNNNNNNNNNNNNNNNNNNNNNNNNNNNNNNNNNNNNNNNNNNNNNNNNNNNNNNNNNNNNNNNNNNNNNNNNNNNNNNNNNNNNNNNNNNNNNNNNNNNNNNNNNNNNNNNNNNNNNNNNNNNNNNNNNNNNNNNNNCGGUAACCCCCCGGUACUCCGGUAUAUAUCCGAUAACCCCCGGAAUCAUUCCGGUGUCCGAAUAUAGUCAUCCAAUAUAUCAAUCUUCAUGUCUCGACCAUUUCGAGACUCCUCGUUAUGUCCGUGAUCACUUCCGGGACUCCGAACAACCUUCGGUACAUCAAAACUCAUAAACUCAUAAUAUAACUGUCAUCAAAACUUUAAGCGUGCGGACCCUACGGGUUCGAGAACUAUGUAGACAUGACCGAGACACGUCUCCGGUCAAUAGCCAAUAGCGGAACCUAGAUGCUCAUAUUGGCUCCCACAUAUUCUACGAAGAUCUUUAUCGGUCAGACCGCAUAACAACAUACGUUGUUCCCUUUGUCAUCGGUUUGUUACUUGCCCGAGAUUCGAUCGUCGGUAUCUCAAUACCUAGUUCAAUCUCGUUACCGACAAGUCUCUUUACUCGUUCCGUAAUGCAUCAUUCCGCAACUAACUCAUUAGUCACAUUGCUUGCAAGGCUUAUAGUGAUGUGCAUUACCGAGAGGGCCCAGAGAUACCUCUCCGAUAAUCAGAGUGACAAAUCCUAAUCUCGAAAUACGCCAACCCAACAAGUACCUUCGGAGACACCUGUAGAGCACCUUUAUAAUCACCCAGUUACGUUGUGACGUUUGGUAGCACACAAAGUGUUCCUCCGAUAAACGGGAGUUGCAUAAUCUCAUAGUCAUAGGAACAUGUAUAAGUCAUGAAGAAAGCAAUAUCAACAUACUAAACGAUCGAGUGCUAAGCUAACGGAAUGGGUCAAGUCAAUCACAUCAUUCUCCUAAUGAUGUGAUCCCGUUAAUCAAAUGACAACUCAUGUCUAUGGCUAGGAAACAUAACCAUCUUUGAUUAACGAGCUAGUCAAGUAGAGGCAUGCUAGUGACACUCUGUUUGUCUAUGUAUUCACACAAGUAUUACGUUUCCGGUUAAUACAAUUCUAGCAUGAAUAAUAAACAUUUAUCAUGAUAUAAGGAAAUAAAUAAUAACUUUAUUAUUGCCUCUAGGGCAUAUUUCCUUCAGUCUCCCACUUGCACUAGAGUCAAUAAUCUAGAUUUACACAGUAAUGAUUCUAACACCCAUGGAGCCUUGGUGCUGAUCAUGUUUUGCUCGUGGAAGAGGCUUAGUCAACGGGUCUGCAACAUUCAGAUCCGUAUGUAUCUUGCAAAUUUCUAUGUCUCCCACCUGGACUAGAUCCCGGAUGGAAUUGAAGCGUCUCUUGAUGUGCUUGGUUCUCUUGUGAAAUCUGGAUUCCUUUGCCAAGGCAAUUGCACCAGUAUUGUCACAAAAGAUUUUCAUUGGACCCGAUGCACUUGGUAUGACACCUAGAUCGGAUAUGAACUCCUUCAUCCAGACUCCUUCAUUUGCUGCUUCCGAAGCAGCUAUGUACUCCUCUUCACACAUAGAUCCCGCCACGACGCUUUGUUUAGAACUGCACCAACUGACAGCUCCACUGUUCAAUGUAAACACGUAUCCGGUUUGCGAUUUAGAAUCAUCCGGAUCAGUGUCAAAGCUUGCAUCGACGUAACCAUUUACGACUAGCUCUUUGUCACCUCCAUAAACGAGAAACAUAUCCUUAGUCCUUUUUAGGUAUUUCAGGAUGUUCUUGACCGCUGUCCAGUGACCUACUCCUGGAUUACUUUGGUACCUCCCUGCUAGACUUAUAGCAAGGCACACAUCAGGUCUAGUACACAGCAUUGCAUACAUGAUAGAGCCUAUGGCUGAAGCAUAGGGAACAUCUUUCAUCUUCUCUCUAUCUUCUGCAGUGGUCGGGCAUUGAGUCUUACUCAACUUCACACCUUGUAACACACGCAAGAACCCUUUCUUUGCUUGAUCCAUUUUGAACUUCUUCAAAACUUUGUCAAGGUAUGUGCUUUGUGAAAGUCCAAUUAAGCGUCUUGAUCUAUCUCUAUAGAUCUUGAUGCCCAAUAUAUAAGCAGCUUCACCGAGGUCUUUCAUUGAAAAACUCUUAUUCAAGUAUCCCUUUAUGCUAUCCAGAAAUUCUAUAUCAUUUCCAAUCAACAAUAUGUCAUCCACAUAUAAUAUAAGAAAUGCUACAGAGCUCCCACUCACUUCCUUGUAAAUACAGGCUUCUCCAAAAGUCUGUACAAAACCAAAUGCUUUGAUCACACUAUCAAAGCGUUUAUUCCAACUCCAAGAGGCUUGCACCAGUCCAUAAAUGGAUCGCUGGAGCUUGCACACUUUGUUAGCUCCCUUUGGAUCGACAAAACCUUCUGGUUGCAUCAUAUACAACUCUUCUUCCAGAAAUCCAUUCAGGAAUGCAGUUUUGACAUCCAUUUGCCAAAUUUCAUAAUCAUAAAAUGCGGCAAUUGCUAACAUGAUUUGGACAGACUUAAGCAUCGCUACGGGUGAGAAAGUCUCAUCGUAGUCAAUCCCUUGAACUUGUCGAAAACCUUUUGCAACAAGUCGAGCUUUAUAGACAGUAACAUUACCGUCAGCGUCAGUCUUCUUCUUGAAGAUCCAUUUAUUCUCAAUGGCUUGCCGAUCAUCGGGCAAGUCAACCAAAGUCCACACUUUGUUCUCAUACAUGGAUCCCAUCUCAGAUUUCAUGGCUUCAAGCCAUUUUGCGGAAUCUGGGCUCACCAUCGCUUCUUCAUAGUUCGUAGGUUCGUCAUGGUCUAGUAACAUAACCUCCAGAACAGGAUUACCGUACCACUCUGGUGCGGAUCUUACUCUGGUUGACCUACGAGGUUCAGUAACAACUUGACCUGAAGUUCCAUGAUCAUCAUCAUUAACUUCCUCACUAAUUGGUGUAGGCGUCACAGGAACCGGUUUCUGUGAUGAACUACUUUCCAAUAAGGGAGCAGGUACAAUUACCUCAUCAAGUUCUACUUUCCUCCCACUCACUUCUUUCGAGAGAAACUCCUUCUCUAGAAAGGAUCCAUUCUUAGCAACGAAUGUCUUGCCUUCGGAUCUGUGAUAGAAGGUGUACCCAAUAGUCUCCUUUGGGUAUCCUAUGAAGACACAUUUCUCCGAUUUGGGUUCGAGCUUAUCAGGUUGAAGCUUUUUCACAUAUGCAUCUCAGCCCCAAACUUUAAGAAACGACAACUUUGGUUUCUUGCCAAACCACAGUUAAUAAGGUGUCGUCUCAACGAAUUUCGAUGGCGCCCUAUUUAAUGUGAAUGCAGCCGUCUCUAAAGCAUAACCCCAAAAUGAUAGCGGUAAAUCAGUAAGAGACAUCAUAGAUCAUACCAUAUCUAGUAAAGUACGAUUACGACGUUCGGACACACCAUUACGCUGUGGUGUUCCGGGUGGCGUGAGUUGCGAAACUAUUCCGCAUUGUUUCAAAUGUAGACCAAACUCGUAACUCAAAUAUUAUCCUCCACGAUCAGAUCAUAGAAACUUUAUUUUCUUGUUACGAUGAUUUUCAACUUCACUCUGAAAUUCUUUGAACUUUUCAAAUGUUUUAGACUUAUGUUUCAUUAAGUAGAUAUACCCAUAUCUGCUUAAAUCAUCUGUGAAGGUGAGAAAAUAACGAUACCCGCCGCGAGCCUCAACAUUCAUCGGACCACAUACAUCUGUAUGUAUGAUUUCCAACAAAUCUGUUGCUCUCUCCAUAGUACCGGAGAACGACAUUUUAGUCAUCUUGCCCAUGAGGCACGGUUCGCAAGUACCAAGUGAUUCAUAAUCAAGUGGUUCCAAAAGUCCAUCAGUAUGGAGUUUCUUCAUGCGCUUUACACCGAUAUGACCUAAACGGCAGUGCCACAAAUAAGUUGCACUAUCAUUGUCAACUCUGCAUCUUUUGGUUUCAACAUUAUGAAUAUGUGUAUCACUACUAUCGAGAUUCAUCAAAAAUAGACCACUCUUCAAGGGUGCAUGACCAUAAAAGUUAUUACUCAUAUAAAUAGAACAACCAUUAUUCUCUGAUUUAAAUAAAUAACCGUCUCGCAUCAAACAAGAUCCAGAUAUAAUGUUCAUGCUCAACGCUGGCACGAAAUAACAAUUAUUUAGGUCUAAUACUAAUCCCGAAGGUAGAUGUAGAGGUAGUGUGCCGACGGCGAUCACAUCGACAUUGGAACCGUUUCCCACGCGCAUCGUCACCUCGUCCUUGGCCAGUGUUCGCUUAAUCCGUAGUCCCUGUUUUGACUUGCAAAUAUUAGCAACAGAACCAGUAUCAAAUACCCAGGUGCUACUACGAGCUCUGGUAAGGUACACAUCAAUAACAUGUAUAUCACAUAUACCUUUGUUCACCUUGCCAUCCUUCUUAUCUGCCAAAUACUUGGGGCAGUUCCGCUUCCAGUGACCAGUCUGCUUGCAGUAGAAGCACUCAGUCUCAGGCUUAGGUCCAGACUUGGGUUUCUUCUCUUGAGCAACAACUUGCUUGCUGUUCUUCUUGAAGUUCCCCUUCUUCUUUCCUUUGCCCUUUUUCUUGAAACUAGUGGUCUUAUUAACCAUCAACACUUGAUGCUCCUUCUUGACUUCUACCUCUGCAGCCUUUAGCAUUGCGAAGAGCUCGGGAAUCGUCUUAUCCAUCCCUUGCAUGUUAUAGUUCAUCACGAAGCUCUUGUAGCUUGGUGGCAGUGAUUGAAGAAUUCUGUCAAUGACGCUAUCAUCCGGAAGAUUAACUCCUAGUUGAAUCAAGUGAUUAUUAUACCCAGACAUUUUGAGUAUAUGCUCACUGACAGAACUAUUCUCCUCCAUCUUGCAGCUGUAGAACUUAUUGGAGACUUCAUAUCUCUCAAUCCGGGCAUUUGCUUGAAAUCGUAACUUCAACUCCUGGAACAUCUCAUAUUCUCCAUGACGUUCAAAACGUCGUUGAAGUCCCGGUUCUAAGCCGUAAAGCAUGACACACCGAACUAUCGAGUAGUCAUCAGCUUUGCUCUGCCAGACGUUCAUAACAUCUGGUGUUGCUCCUGCAGCAGGUUUGGCACCUAGCGGUGCUUCCAGGACGUAAUUCUUCCGUGCAGCAAUGAGGAUAAUCCUCAAGUUACGGACCCAGUCCGUGUAAUUGCUACCAUCAUCUUUCAACUUUGCUUUCUCAAGGAACGCAUUAAAAUUCAACGGAACAACAGCACGGGCCAUCUAUCUACAAUCAACAUAGACAAGCAAGAUACUAUCAGGUACUAAGUUCAUGAUAAAUUUAAGUUCAAUUAAUCAUAUUACUUAAGAACUCCCACUUAGAUAGACAUCCCUCUAAUCCUCUAAGUGAUCACGUGAUCCAAAUCAACUAAACCAUAACCGAUCAUCACGUGAAAUGGAGUAGCUUUCAAUGGUGAACAUCAUUAUGUUGAUCAUAUCUACUAUAUGAUUCACGCUCGACCUUUCAGUCUCAGUGUUCCGAGGCCAUAUCUGCAUAUGCUAGGCUCGUCAAGUUUAACCUGAGUAUUCUGCGUGCGCAAAACUGGCUUGCACCCAUUGUAGAUGGACGUAGAGCUUAUCACACCCGAUCAUCACGUGGUGUCUGGGCACGACGAACUUGUGACGCCCCAAGACCGACGCUCUAGAUGCCUUCCAUUUAGUUUCAUUGUCAUCGUGUGUUUCAUAUGUUUGUUGCCAUGAUCUUGAUGAGUGCCAUUGCCAUAUUCUGCUUCUUGCAUCACGUUCAUCUUAUAUUACAUUGCAUUGCACCAUCCUUGCUUUGUUCUAUGCUUCAUGAUGCGAUGUGCCUCUUGUCAUUCUAUUGCAUUGCAUCAUGAUCAUCAUGCCUUGUUUUGCAUAUUUAAGUUUUGUUGUGUGUUCUUGUGUGAACCCCUCUUAUUCUUAUCUCCACCUCAUUUUUGUUCCAUGCGCAUACCAGCAACAAUUCAUCAAGUUCACCCAAGUUUCUAUCCCAUCCAAACUUCUCCUUUUCCCUUUCUUUCAAUUAUUUCUCUAGUGGCAUUUUCUGCUCCAGAUUAAUGUUCACUAUAUUUUUUAUAUUCUCUACACCAUGCCAAGACCACCUCCUCCAGUUUUCAAGUCCUUUGGAAGUGUUUUGGUUGGGCUAAGGAUUUAUUCAAGCUUGAAUUAUUUUCAAACUUGUUUGAAUUUGCAGUCUCUUAAAAUUACCAGAGCAUUUUAUUCAAAUGCUGCAUAAUUCCUGGUGUCCAGGGAUAUUUUGUUCUUAGCCUAUUUCUUCUCAAAACUCCCUGGACUUUUCUUUUUCUAAACCUGGAGAUUCAAAGUUUUAGAAAAGAAGAAAAUGGAAGGGGCCUCCCAGCAGCGCACCUUGGGCCUUUUUCCCUCACCUACAGCCCAGCCAAGCCACCGCAGCCCGCCUGGCCCGACUUUGUUCACGGCCACCUGCCCCGUUGCGUCACCGUCUCUGUUCCAGAGACAGAGCGCUCGCGCUCGCGCCGUGAGUUUCACGGACGCCGAGGUCGCGCCGUCUUCUCCCCUCCUUUUUAAGCCAGUAGCCACGCCCUAGGGUUUCCCCUUCUCCCUCUCGUUUCCUCCGCCGCUGCCAGCCAGGAGGGCAGCUCCUCCCCGCUCCAUCUCCCCCCUGCAGCCACCAUGGCCGGUCCAAGAAAGAGCUCAUCACCGGAGUAGGAGCAUCGCCGGCCUCCCCACCGUCGACCCAGAGCACCUCAGCGCCUCCCAGAGUCUGUUCUGACGCCUAUCCGAGCCCUAGGACGCCUUCCCCGACGUCCUCUUCAUCCUCUACUUCGUCUUCUUCACGGACAGCAAGUCCACCGGAGUUUCUCGCCUCCUAUCCAUCGAUAUUCUGCGUCCCCGGCCGCAUCCUCAUGUCACAUGUAUACUAGGUAUACCCAAAUCCAAUCCUGCUCUUUUCCAUCGCGAUUUGAUCGCCGGAGUCAUCGCUAGAACCAUGCCAUCUUCGUGUUCUCGGUGCUCCGACGAGUUCUGAAUUUUGUUGUGUAGUUGCAGUAGUCGUCGUGGUUCCUCGCGCUUCGCCCCCGCUCUGAAUCCUCUCUAGCACACGCCGCCUUGUCGUGCCACUCCCUGCUCGCCACCGCUCCCGGCAGCUUCGCCGAUUGCCUCGCGUCGUCGUCGCCCGAGCCGAGCCAUGCUCGUGCUCAAGCAGGUCCUGCUGCUGCUUGCCCUGCUUCUCCUCGCCGCGCGUCCUCUGCACACACGCCGCCCAUUUGCUGCACCUUCGUGGGCACACCUCCAUGCACAUGCUUCUACACAUGCGCAUGGCCGCGCUCGACUGCAAGCCCGUGGCCUGCUGCGUCUUGCCUCGCCGCCAUGCCCGGGACGAGCUCAAGCUCGUGCUCGAGCCAAUCUCCUGCAGCUGCUCCGCCUGCACGCGACCAUCCCGCAGCUGCUCACACAUCCAGACCCGCAUGCCCGCCGCUGGUUUUUAGCCGUAGCCGCCGCUGCUUCUAGCCGCGAGCAACCGCUGGAGUUUUGCGUCCUCUGUUCAUCCAUGGAGGUCCAGGAUCGGGGCUUCAACCUAUUUAAGAUGUGCCAUGCUCUUCACUUUCACAAACACACAACCAGCUCGACUGGUUAACCCAUCGUGCCAUUAGCAGGAGGUCCUGGGUUUGAGUCCCAGGCGUCCCAAUUUUUGCAUAGUUUUUCGUUCUGCACACACACUGUCACUCGGGCCAAAUCCUCGUGGGCCGCUGCAGGAUCCUGCAAUUCGGCCCGAUUGUGUUUUUUAUCAGUCUUGCGUUUUGCUAUUUGUCUACUGCAUUGCAUAUUUACAGAAUUGCCAUUGUCUUAAAUUGUUUAUAGCUAAAUAUCCAAGCAUCCAAAAGAAACAUGCCAUAUAUGCAUCUUGCUCAGAUUUUCAUGUUCUUUAAACAGUAUGCAACUUUCCACCAUGUUUAAAAUGUUGUUUGCAAUUAAUUUGCUCUAAUGACAUGUUAAAAUGGUUUAAUUCAUAACUAAAUAACCGUAGCUCGGUUUUAAAUAAUCUUUAUAUGUAAAUGGGGUCGAAAAAUGCCUAGUUUAACAUGGUGCACUCUUCUUGCAUGUUUAACAACUCUAAAAUAUGGUUUAGGGCAGAACAGUACCAAAUCCAUAAAUUGCAUAUGAGGAUUUUUCCGGACUUGUUGCUUGUUGUUCCGACCUCAUUUAAACUUGCCUAGAUAGGUAGUUUUAUUAUGCUUCACCUCUUGCCAUGUUUAACAACAUUUAAUAUUGAUGGUACCUAAACGAGAGAGAACUAAAUAAGUCAUGUGGUGUUUCGUCAAUAUGCAACUCGUUGCAUAUUGAGCUACACUUAAUUUGUAGUGUUGUUUGUUGCACUUUGCCAUGCCAUGCCUCAUUAAACCGGACAUGCAUCAUACUUGGUUGUGCAUCAUGCCAUGUUUAUGUGAUGGUUGUUUACCAUGUUGUUUGCUUCUUUCCGGUGUUGCUUCUUCGGGUUAGUUCCGAUAACGUCGUGUUUGUGAGGAUUCGUUCGACUACGUCCGCUUGUCUUCUUCAUGGACUCGUUCUUCUUCCUUGCGGGAUCUCAGGCAAGAUGACCAUACCCUCGAAAUCACUUCUAUCUUUGCUUGCUAGUUGUUCGCUCUAUUUCUAUGCCGCGCUACCUACCACUUGCUAUAUCAUGCCUCCCAUAUUGCCAUGUCAAGCCUCUAACCAUCCUUUCCUAGCAAACCGUUGCUUGGCUAAGUUACCGCUUUUGCUCAGCCCCUCUUAUAGCGUUGCUAGUUGCAGGUGAAGAUGAAGAUUGCUCCAUGUUGGAUUAUGUUUAUGUUGGGAUAUCACAAUAUCUCUUAUUUUAUUAAUGCAUCUAUAUACUUGGUAAAGGGUGGAAGGCUCGGCCUUAUGCCUGGUGUUUUGUUCCACUCUAGCUGCCCUAGUUUCCGUCAUAUCGGUAUUAUGUUCCCGGAUUUUGCGUCCCUAACGCGGUUGGGUGUUAUGGGAACCCCUUGACAGUUCGCCUUGAAUAAAACUCCUCCAGCAAGGCCCAACAUUGGUUUUACCAUUUGCCUACCUACCACCUAUACCUUUCCCUUGGGAGUAAUUAACCUGAGGGUCAUCUUUAUUUUAGCCCCCCGGGCCAAUGCUUCUCCAAGUGUUGGUCCGAACUAGAGCCACUUGCAGCGCCACCUCGGGGAAACUUGAGGGCUGGUUUUAGUUGUACGUAGUGCACAUCCGGUCGUGGCCUGAGACGAGAUACGCGCGACUACUAUCAGGGUGUCGGCACGCCGGGAGGUCUUGCUGGUCUUGUUUUACCAUUGUCGAAAUGUCUUGUAACCGGGAUUCCGAGACUGAUCGGGUCGUUCCGGGAGAAGGAAUAUCCUUCGUUGAUCGCGAGAGCUUAUCAUGGGCUAAGUUGGGACACCCCUGCAGGGUUUGAACUUUCGAGAGCCGUGCCCGCGGUUAUCUGGCAGAUGGGAAUUUGUUAAUGUCCGGUUGUAGAGAACUUGACACUUGACUUAAUUAAAAUACACCAACCGCGUGUGUAGCCGUGAUGGUCUCUUCUCGGCGGAGUCCGGGAAGUGAACACGGUCUUGUGUUAUGUAUGCCUCCUUAUUACGCGCAAAAUAAUGAUUCCUCCACCUGACAGCAGGGACCCACCGGACGGGUCACCGUAUUUCGCGAAAAAAACGUUUCCCCCUGACUGCUGGGACCCACCAGCUACAUCUUCGCACGCAAGGAAGUGCGUCCAUAUUACGGGCAAAAAAUGAUUUGCCCCCCUGACUGCUGGGACCCACCAGCUACAUGUUCGCACGCAAGGAAGUGCCUGACAGUCGGGACCCACCUGGUCGAAGCGUACGUAUCGUUGUCAUUCUAGUGGCGAACGUGUACGUACACACUGGUCGAUCGGUCUGUCUGCAGGCUGCAGCGAUGAACCGUGGCUGUGUAAGGAAGGGCACGUGUCAUAGUAUAGGUGCGCACGUAGCAUGUACACAUACGUACAGCGGCCAGGGUGCAAUAAAGUAAAUACGGCCACGUACGUACAUACGGGCGGGGUCUCGAAUGCCUACUCACGCAUACGUACGACCAGGGCUCGUGUACAUGGCUGGGUCGGAAUGGAGAAGCUGCACCGUCGUAGUGAUCAUGGGGAGGCAACCGGCUGGGUCGGAACGGAAUGCGUCGUCGUGUUCAUCGGAAGCCAACCGGCUUGGACGGAACAACCGAUGGAAACGAGGCGUGGCAUACCACAGAACAGAGGAAACGGCCUUGGUUCGACCGGCCAUGGUCGAAACGGGAUCCUGUUCAUCGGGAGGGGUCUAGCGUACCGCAAAACGGAGGAAAUGGACCUCCUACGGUCGAAACGAGGUCCUGUUGAUCGGGAGGGGUGUGGCAUACCGCAAAACGGAGAAAACAGACUUGUGUUGGAGUGCUACGGUCGAAACGGGGGUCCUGUUCAUCGGGAGGGGUGUGGCGUACCGCAAAACGGGACUCCACGGGAUACUAGUCAUCUCCACCGUCGACCUCCUCCAGCCUCCGCGGGCUACUGUUCAUCCACCGUCGACCUCCUCCAGCAUCCACCUGCAACUGUUCAUCCACAGGCUCCUGUUCAUCCAGUUUCCACCGCGUGCUCCUCCAUCGGCUACUGUUCAACCAACCCUCUCCACGGGGUCCUGUUCAACCACCCCUCCACGGGCUACUAUUCAUCCAGCCCUCCACCGGCCACUGUUCAACCAGCCCUCCACGGGGUCCUGUUCAUCCAGCCCUCCAUGGGGUCCUGUUCAUCCAUCAGCUCGAUCGAUCGGGGUCCUGUUCAUCCAGCGGCAACGACCUCUACUACCACGGGGUCCUGUUCAUCCAACCCCCACCGGGAACUAUUCAUCCAAACCCCCUCAACAACGCACACUGUUCAUCAAGGGAAGGAGGCAACAAUGUUCGAUCGGCUUUAGUUAGCAGCAGUAGCGAAGGAAUCACUCGGGUUCAGUUAACAGCAAGGGAUCGAUCGAUCGCUCGGGUUCAGUAACGCGUAGCCUGCAGUGCAAUCGCUCGGGUUCAGUUAGAGCUCAACGCGUCGCUUGGGUUCAGUUAGAGCCCAAUGCCUCGCACACACGCGCGUACGUACGAGAGAAACGCGCAUCGCUCGGCCCCCGACCACCCACCGUAACCGGGAACUCCCCGAUAUUUUCCGCGCCCUCGCUUCUACCACGGUUUUUCCGUCAUGGAUGGCCCAAAGAAUGUCAUGCGGCUGCGUCUCCGGCCCGCCCAGGAUGAAAAGCCCAUUUUCUGUCAUGAUUUUUUGUCAUAGAAGUAGGACCCCACCACAUCUAUGAUGAUACCGGGUUUUGUCACAAUUAUCGUCAUAGGAGUGUCAUAAGUAUGACAGAAAAAAAUUCGUUUGGCCCAAAAUGUCACAGAUGUGUCUUUUUUUGUAGUGUUAGCAUGUUGAUCGUUCAGUUUUAUUGCUAUUGCUUUCUUCAUGACUUAUACAUGUUCCUCUGACUAUGAGAUUAUGCAACUCCCGGAUACCGGAGGAACACCUUGUGUGCUAUCAAACGUCACAACGAAACUGGGUGAUUACAAAGAUGCUCUAUAGGUGUCUCCGAAGGUGUUUGUUGGGUUGGAAUAGAUCAAGAUUAGGAUUUGUCACUCCGUGUAUCGGAGAGGUAUCUCUGGGCCCUCUCGGUAAUGCACAUCUCUAUAAGCCUUGCAAGCAAUGUGACUAAUGAGUUAGUUACGGGAUGAUGCAUUACGGGACGAGUAAAGAGACUUGCCGGCAACGAGAUUGAACUAGGUAUGAGGAUACCGACGAUCGAAUCUCGGGCAAGUAACAUACCGAUGACAAAGGGAACAACGUAUGUUGUUAUGCGGUUUGACCGAUAAAGAUCUUCAUAGAAUAUGUAGGAGCCAAUAUGAGUAUCCAGGUUCCGCUAUUGGUUAUUGACCGGAGAUGUGUCUUGGUCAUGUCUACAUAGUUCUCGAACCCGUAGGGUCGGCACGCUUAAUGUUUGAUGACGAUUUGUAUUAUGAGUUAUGUGAUUUGAUGACCGAAGUUUGUUCGGAGUCCCGGAUGAGAUAACGGACAUGACGAGGAGUCUCAAUGGUCGAGACGUAAAGAUCGAUAUAUUGGAAGGCUAUAUUCGGACAUCGGAAAGGUUCUGAGUGGUUCGGGUAUUUUUCGGAGUACCGGAGAGUUACGGGAAUUCGCCGGGGGAAGUAUUGGGCCUUAAUGGGCCAUACGGGAAAGGAGAGAAGGGCCUCAAGGGGUGGCCGCGUGCCCCCCCAUGGGCUGGUCCGAAUUGGACUAGGAGGGGGCGGUGCCCCCUCUCCUUCCUUCUCCCCUCUUUCUCCUUCCCUUCGUUCUCCAAGUUGGAAUAGGAAAGAAGGGGCUGAAUCCUACAUGGACCGGGAGUCCAAGUAGGACUCCCCCCUUGGUGCGCCCCCUCUAGGGCCAGCCUCCUCUUCCUCCCUCCUUUAUAUACGUGGGCAGGGGGCACCCCAAAAGCACUCUAAGAUUUGUCUUAGCCGUGUGCGGUGCCCCCCUCCACAGUUACACACCUCGGUCAUAUCGUCGUAGUGCUUAGGCAAAACCCUGCACCGGUAACUUCAUCAUCACCGUCACCACGCCGUCGUGCUGAUGGAACUCUCCCUCGGCCUCAACUGGAUCAAGAGUUCAAGGGACGUCAUCGAGCUGAACGUGUGCAGAUCGCGGAGGUGCUGUGUGUUCGAUACUUGGAUCGGUUGGAUCGCGAAGACGUUCGACUACAUCAACCGCGUUACUAAACGCUUCCGCUUUCGGUCUACGAGGGUACGUGGACACAUUCUCCCCGCUCGUUGCUAUGCUUCUCCUAUAUAGAUCUUGCGUGAUCGUAGGAAUUUUUUUGAAAUACUACGUUCCCCAAAAGUGGUAUCAGAGCUAGGUCUAUGCGUAGAUGUUAUAUGCACGAGUAGAACACAAAGAGUUCUGGGCGAUAAUAGUCAUACUGCUUACCAGCAUGUCAUACUUUGAUUCGGCGGUAUUGUUGGAUGAAGCGGCCCAGACCGACAUUACAUGACCGCGUUCAUGAGACUGGUUCUACCGCCGUGCUUAGCACAUAGGUGGAUAGUGGGUAUCUGUUUCUGCAAAUUUAGUCGAAUCAAGUGUGACUACGCCCGGUCCUUGUUGAAGGUUAAAACAUCACACUUGACGAAAAAUCGUUGUGGUUUUGAUGCGUAGGUAAGAUCGGUUCUUGCUAAGCCCGUAGCAGCCACGUAAAACUUGCAACAACAAAGUAGAGGACGUCUAACUUGUUUUUGCAGGGCAUGUUGUGAUGUGAAAUGGUCAAGACGUGAUGAUAUAAAUUGUUGUAUGAGAUGAUCAUGUUUUGUAAUAGAGUUAUCGGCAACUGGCAGGAGCCAUAUGGUUGUCGCUUUAUUGUAUGCAAUGCAAUCGCCAUGUAAUUGCUUUACUUUAUCACUAAGUGGUAGCGAUAGUCGUGAUAGCACUAGUUGGCGAGAUGACAACGAUGCUUCGAUGGAGAUCAAGGUGUCAAGCCGGUGACGAUGGUGAUCAUGAUGGUGCUUUGGAGAUGGAGAUCAAAGGCACAAGAUGAUGAUGACCAUAUCAUAUCACUUAUAUUGAUUGCAUGUGAUGUUUAUCCUUUAUGCAUCUUAUUUUGCUUAGUUCGGCGGUAGCAUUAUAAGAUGAUCUCUCACUAAAUUUCAAGGUAUAAAUGUUCUCCCUGAGUAUGCACCGUUGCGACAGUUCGUCGUGCCGAGAUACCACGUGAUGAUCGGGUGUGAUAAGCUCUACGUUCACAUACAACGGGUGCAAGCCAGUUUUGCACACGCAGAAUACUCGGGUUAAACUUGACAAGCCUAGCAUAUGCAGAUAUGGCCUCGGAACACUGAGAGCGAAAGGUCGAGCGUGAAUCAUAUAGUAGAUAUGAUCAACAUAGUGAUGUUCACCAUUGAAAACUACUCCAUCUCACGUGAUGAUCGGACAUGGUUUAGUUGAUUUGGAUCACGUGAUCACUUAGAUGAUUAGAGGGAUGUCUAUCUAAGUGGGAGUUCUUAAGUAAUAUGAUUAAUUGAACUUUAAUAUAUCGUGAACUUAGUACCUGAUAGUAUUUUGCAUGUCUAUGUUGUUGUAGAUCAAUGGCCUGUGCUACUGUUCCUUUGAAUUUUAAUGCGUUCCUAGAGAAAGCUAAGUUGAAAGAUGAUGGUAGCAACUACACGGACUGGGUCCAUAACUGGAGGAUUAUCCUCAUUGCUGCACAGAAGAAUUACGUCCUGGAAGCACCGCUAGGUGCAAGACCCGCUGCAGGAGCAACGCCGGACGUUAUGAACGCCUGGCAGAGCAAAGCUGAUGACUACUCGAUAGUUUAGUGUGCCAUGCUUUACGGCUUAGAACCGGGACUUCAACGACGUUUUGAACGUCAUGGAGCAUAUGAGAUGUUCCAGGAGUUGAAGUUAAUAUUUCAAGCAAAUGCUCAGAUUGAGAGAUAUGAAGUCUCCAAUAAGUUCUAUAGCUGUUAAAUGGAGGAGAAUAGUUCUGUCAGUGAACAUAUACUCAAAAUGUCUGGGUAUCAUAAUCACUUGACUCAAUUGGGAGUUAAUCUUCCAGUUGAUAGUGUCAUUGACAGAGUUCUUCAAUCAGUGCCACCAAGCUACAAAAGCUUCAUGAUGAACUAUAAUAUGUAAGGGAUGGAUAAGACAAUUCCUGAGCUCUUCGCAAUGCUAAAGGUUGCGGAGGUAGAAAUCAAAAAAGGAGCAUCAAGUGUUGAUGGUCAAUAAGACCACCAGUUUCAAGAAAAAGGGUAAAGGGAAGAAGGGGAACUUCAAGAAGAACGGCAAGCAAGUUGCUAUUCUAGUGAAGAAGCCCAAGUCUGGACCUAAGCCUGAGACUGAGUGCUUCUACUGCAAAGGGACUGGUCACUGGAAGCGGAACUGCCCCAAGCAUUUGGCGGAUAAGAAGGAUGGCAAAGUGAACAAAGGUAUAUGUGAUAUACAUGUUAUUGAUGUGUACCUUACUAAUGCUCGUAGUAGUACCUGGGUAUUUGAUACUGGUUCUGUUGCUAAUAUUUGCAACUCGAAACAGGGACUAUGGAUUAAGCGAAGAUUGGCUAAGGACGAGGUGACGAUGCGCGUGGGAAAUGGUUCCAAAGUCGAUGUGAUCGCCGUCGGCACGCUACCUCUACAUCUACCUUCGGGAUUAGUUUUAGACCUGAAUAAUUUUUAUCUUGUGCCAACGUUAAGCAUGAACAUUGUACCUGGAUCUUGUUUGAUGCGAGACGGUUAUUCAUUUAAAUCUGAGAAUAAUGGUUGUUCUAUUUAUAUGAGUAAUAUCUUUUAUGGUCAUGCACCCUUGAAGAGUGGUCUAUUUUUGUUGAAUCUCGAUAGUAGUGAUACACAUAUUCAUAAUAUUGAAGCCAAAAGAUGCAGAAUUGGUAAUGAUAAUGCAACUUAUUUGUGGCACUGCCGUUUGGGUCAUAUCGGUGUAAAGCGCAUGAAGAAACUCCAUAUUGAUGGACUUUUGGAAUCACUUGAUUAUGAAUCACUUGGUACUUGCGAACCAUGCCUCAUGGGCAAGAUGACUAAAACUCCGUUCUCCGGAACAAUGGAGCGAGCAACAGAUUUAUUGGAAAUAAUACAUACUGAUGUAUGCGGUGCGAUGAAUAUUGAGGCUCGCGGCGGGUAUCGUUAUUUCCUGACCUUCACAGAUGAUUUUAGUAGAUAUGGGUAUAUCUACUUGAUGAAACAUAAGUCUGAAACAUUUGAAAAGUUCAAAGAAUUUCAGAGUGAAGUGGAAAAUCAUCGUAACAAGAAAAUAAAGUUUCUGCCAUCUGAUCGUGGAGGAGAAUAUUUGAGUUAGGAGUUUGGUCUUCAUUUGAAACAAUGCAGAAUAGUUUCGCAACUCACGCCACCUGGAACACCACAACGUAAUGGUGUGUCCGAACGUCAUAACCGCACUUUAUUAGAUAUGGUGCGAUCCAUGAUGUCUCUUACUGAUUUACUGCUAUCGUUUUGGGCUUAUGCUUUAGAGACGGCUGCAUUCACGUUAAAUAGGGCACCAUCUAAAUCCGUUGAGACGACACCUUAUGAACUGUGGUUUGGCAAGAAACCCAAGUUGUCGUUUCUUAAAGUUUGGGGCUGCGAUGCUUAUGUGAAAAAGCUUCAACCUGAUAAGCUCGAACCCAAAUCGGAGAAAUGUGUCUUCAUAGGAGACCCAAAAGAGAUUGUUGGGUACACCUUCUAUCACAGAUCCGAACGCAAGAUAUUUGUUGCUAAGAAUGGAUCCUUUUUAGAGAAGGAGUUUCUCUCGAAAGAAGUGAGUGGGAGGAAAGUAGAACUUGAUGAGGUAACUGUACCUGCUCCCUUCUUGGAAAGUAGUUCAUCACAGAAAUCAGUUCCUGUGAUUCCUACACCAAUUAGUGAGGAAGCUAAUGAUGAUGAUCAUGUAACUUCAGAUCAAGUUACUAUCACGACCGGUUUUCCAAUAAAAAUAUUUAUUGAGAAACCGAUCCCUUUUACGGACCAGUAGAGAAGAAUCCUUCUCACUGGUAGACAAUUUCUUGAUCACAGAAGAGAAACCAGGGGUACUAAAUAUAAUACAAGGUUGAGCGGAGACUGCUCAACAAUUUUAUUACAUGCACGCCGAUAUUACACAUAACAGCGGAUAUGGUGGCAUAACUACUGACACACAAAUAAACGCGAUGGUGGAUAUGUCACAGUGAAGUGGGUGACAUGACUCCUAAAUCUUACAGCUCAUCGAGCGUCGGAGUGAGGCUCGAGGAUUCUUAUUGCGCGUGGCGGAAGCGCAUAUAACACAAGUGACCAAUAUCCAGGAUCGCACGGGACUGACUGGGACUCCUCUAGGCGUCGGACUCACUAUCAAACUCUUCAUCCAUGAGAUCGCCUUCGUCAACAUCUGGCCAAAUCAACAAGCCAGGUGAGUACUAUGAAAGUACUCGCAAGACAGUUUGGACAUAAGAUAUAACAAAUGCAAACAUGAUGCAUAUGAACAGAUUAAUAACGCGCACUCAGACAAUGAGAUAGCAAUGCAUGGGAAAUAAAAGGAAGUCGGGCGGUAGUCCUCCCGAAAUCCCAACGUAAUGCUGAAGGCCAAUCGAGUGUCUGAAAGACUCCUCGAAAGGAUACAAAUAAAAUAACAAUGCCGCAGUCGGGCGUCAAGGCGACACCACAUAAAGGGCUUAUAAUGGAAUAUAAAUGACAGUGCGUGCCACAGUCGGACAUCUGAGCGACAUCACGUAAAGGGCUUAUAUCAAAAGUAAAUAACGAGCGUGCCACAGUCGGACGUCUGAGCGACAUCACAUAAAGGGCUUAUAUCAAAAGUAAAUGACAAGAGUGCCACAGUCGGACGUCUGAGCGACAUCACAUAAAGGGCUUAUAUCAAAAGUAAAUGACAAGAGUGCCACAGUCGGACGUCUGAGCGACAUCACAUAAAGGGCUUAUAUUUCAUGACUUGAUAUUUCAGUAGCUCAUGAAUUUAAAUCAUUUCAAGGAAAUACUCAGGUACGAAAUAAUAAACCGGUUAGUCCAUCCACAGGAAUAACAUUCAACAGAGUUUACCACUCAAGCUUGUUUACCGGGGAUUUCCACGGAAACUGACACGGGGACUGACAUGAAUGUGGAUGUGUUGGCCACGGUCCUUGACCAUGGACACGAUGACUCGGAAGGAUUUGACUCUGCAGAGUUUGUACUAUUUAACCACAGCCAACGGAUUUCAGUAGUCACAAGGGACUAGUUCCGUUUACGGUGUUUUAGGAGAAACACAUCUAACUAGUACAAACCCAUUCAACAUUCCGAUGCCAGGAAUCACCCUCGGCAACGUUCAAGAAAAACCUUGAGACGGGGAGGCUACAACCUCGCGUAGCAUGGGAUCAAAUUUAUACCGCGCGCUCUAAGGGGUGCCCCCCUCUCGGUCCCAACCGAAAACACCCAUGCCCCCUGACCGGAUGACUGGCUUUAAUCCAGGGCCAUGGAACCCUCAUCCCGACCCCUCUAUUUGGUGUGUACAAGGAAAGAGGUUAGCAACUUACUAAACCGUAUUCUUUGCAGAAACCAUGUGGCAGCACGAAAGGGGAAGAAUGGUAACGUGGCUCAGUCCACGUUAACGUCGGAAUUUAUCGGAUGACGUAAGACUGGCAUGCUACAACAAUACCAUCUUACUACCUUUCAUGUCACCACAUGAUCAGGUCAUCUCUCAUCGAAGAUCACAGUAACUUCGAAGCACACGGUUAGUUGCCUUGCAUGCAACUUAAUACUCACCGAUGCUCAUAUGCCAUGCUCAAACCAAUCAAGCAAACAUGCAAAACACUCAUCAUAUCAAAGGUUCAAACAUGCUUGCCUGGUUCGGAGAAGUCGGAGUCUAGCUCGGCGAAGUUCGCGGCUCCUUCACCUCCUCCGGAACCUACGGUAUAACGAAACCGUAUACUAACGUGAAAACCGUUGCGUGUAUAAAAAUUGUUCCAAAUUUUUUCCAAAUAAAUACUAUAAAAAACUAGACAAAAAUAUAAGACUGAAAGAAAAAGAAUCAAUCAAAAAGCAUCUUCUGUUUAAAAUAUAUAAGGGUUUUAGUCCAAGGACUGAUCUGUGAUGAAACAGAAAAGAUCCAGGGGCUUGUUUGAGAAAACAGAAAACGGUUCGGUAUGAAAUACGCCAGCCCAGAGAGAAAACACGUUUUGCCCGAAGGCGCUUUCAGAAAACGGUUCGAAGGGGAAAAGAAGAGAGGCUGACGGGGGGGUCCCACCCGUCAGGUUCAAAUCUUCUAACGGAGCUCGCCGGCGCCCGAAGGCUGCGGUGGUCGCCGGCGUUGAACCACGGCGAGGCAGAGUGAUCGGAGGGUACCUACGGGUUCAGGGUGUUCUUCCGCGUCGGUGGGUGGUGGACUUGACCGUCGGUGAGCACCACGUCGACGGCGACACUAUCUCCGGCGGACGGUGGUUCGGGCGAUGGUGGAGCUCUCCAGUGGGUGCUGCAAGCUUCAAAUUGAUGCGCGGGUCAGAAGGGUGGAUGCACUAGGAGACUACUUGCAAGAGUUGAGGGGUAGGGGUGCACGCACGGGGGUGAAUCGAGCUGGGUCCCGAAGCGGGUCGAGGCGGCCGGAGUUGGGGAAGAAGACUCCCUCGGGGCUCUUCCAGUGGCUUGGCGUGGUACUGGUGGUGUGUAGAGGUGGUGCGGGUUCGAGUUCGGGCUCGGGGCCUCCUUUUAUAGGCGAUCCGAGGGGGUGGCCGUGAACGGGAUAACGCCGGUGAGAAAUUACGGCGAGGCAGAGGUUGGGCAGGGGUUUUAGGUGGCUAGGCAUCACCGUGGAGGAUCACUGGUGCCAUUCCUCUGCUAAACCUCGGCCGGGCUUGGUGUAAUACGUCGGUCCUCGACGGAAUGGCCGUACGGGCACGGCGGUGGCAGGGAGCGUGCUCCGCGCCUACCAGUUCACGACGACGGACUGCAGCGUGCACGGGUGAGUGGAUGGCCACGCGGUGGCCCCUGGUGGCUUGGGCGGCGCUGGACGGCGCCGUCCAACGCUGCACCUCUCUGGCAGCCGCAAAGGGCGCUGCUGCCGUCGCUCACGGGGUGGCGCACCUCCACCAGCUCGUCGCUGAAGCCCGCAAGCUUCCAGGCGAUCGUGCGGCGCAGGGAUAAGAAGGAGGGGACAGGGAGCAAGGCGCCACCGAGGCUACUGGCGAGAUCGAGGAAAGGUUCUGAAGAAAACGACAGCAGCUUCUGAAACUGUUUACUGAACUUUCUGAAUUUGACAGUAACAGUGUCCUUCAGGUGUUCGACGAAAUGAUUUGGCAUGAAGAAUUUUUUUUCUGGAGCUGGGGCUUGGUGAGGUGACCUCUCAAUGCAUCCAGAGGCUGCCUGAAUUUUCUCAGAUUUUUAGGAGGAGAAAACAAAUGAAUUUCAUCAAAUUUGACAAAUAUGGUCCAAACUUGCAGCAAGCAAAAUUUGAAAUAUUUGAACUGGAGACCAGUGGAUCUUCAUGGAUCUUGGUUGAGGGCUCUAAGGACUAGCCAGGGAAAUUGGUUUGGAGGCAAAACUCAAAGGAGAAAAGGUAGUUCCUUUGUAAAUCUUCAAGAGCCAAAGUAGAAGGUAGAAAAUAUUUUUGAUAAGAAAUAAAUGGAAGAAAAAUCAUGGGGGAGUUCAACUUGCUGGAUUUGAAGUUAUUUUGACACAAAGAUGGGGAAUGGCUUUUGGGAGGGGAUUUCCACUUAGGUCAUGGCAAGAGGAGAUUUUGAAAGGGGAAAAGAUCACUCCAAAUGCCAUAGGGCUAUUUAAAAGGAUUUUCAAAAAUUUUCCCAAAUGAAAAACAUUUGUGAUGAGUCAACAUAAGAUGGAAAAACCUCCAAGGCCAAAGAUCAAGUCUUGGGUAAAUCCAAACAAAAUACUUGACAUAAAAGAAAUUUUUUGAGAGGGAGAGUUCUUUAGAAGAAAAUUUUAAGUAACCUCCCUCAAAUCAAAUAAAAGUUAAAAAAAAGCCAAAUAAAAUUUUUGGGUGUCACAGUUACCGAACCUUGUAGGUCAACCAGAGUAAGAUCCGCACCAGAGUGGUACGGUAAUCCUAUUCUGGAGGUCAUGUUACUUGACCAUGAUGAACCUACGAACUAUGAGGAAGCGAUGAUGAGCCCAGAUUCCGCAAAAUGGUUUAAGGCCAUGAAAUCUGAGAUAGGAUCCAUGUAUGAGAACAAAGUAUGGACUUUGGUGGACUUGCCCGAUGAUCGGCAAGCCAUUGAGAAUAAAUGGAUCUUCAAGAGGAAGACAGACACCGAUGGUAGUGUUACUAUCUACAAAGAUCGACUUGUCGAAAAAGGUUUUUGACAAGUUCAAGGUGUUGACUACGAUGAGAUUUUCUCACUCGUAGCAAUGCUUAAGUCUGUCCGAAUCAUGUUAGCAAUUGACACAUUUUAUGAAAUCUGGCAAAUGGAUAACAAAACUGCAUUCCUUAAUGGAUUUAUUAAAUAAGAGUUGUAUAUGAUGCAACUAGAAAGGCUUUGUCAAUCCUAAAGGUGCUAACAAAAUGUGCAAGCUCCAGCGAUCCAUCUAUGGACUGGUGCAAGCAUCUCGGAGUUGGAACAUACGCUUUGAUAAGUUGGUCAAAGCAUAUAGUUUUAUAUAGACUUGUGGUGAAGCCUGUUGAGGGAGUCCUGGACUAAGGGGUCCUUGGGCGUCCGGCCAGUUAUCUGUUGGGCCGGACUGAUGGUCUAUGAAGACAUGAAGGCCGAAGACUAUACCCGUGUCUGGAUUGGACUCUACUUGGCGUGGAAGGCAAGCUAGGCGACCGAUUAUGAAGAUUUCCUCCUAUGUAACCGACUCCAUGUAACCCUAGAUCUCUCCAGUGUCUAUAUAAACCGGAGGGCAUAGUCCGGAUAGGUCAGAUUCAUUACCAUAUACUCAUAGGCUAGACUUCUAGGGUUUAACCAUUACGAUCUCGUGGUAGAUCAACUCUUGUAACACUCAUAUUCAUCAAGAUCAAUCAAGCAGGAAGUAGGGUGUUACCUCCAUAGAGAGGGCCCGAACCUGGGUAAACAUUGUGUCCCCUGUGUCCUGUUACCAUCGAUCCUAGACGCACAGUUCGGGACCCCCUACCCGAGAUCCGCCGGUUUUGACACCGACAUUGGUGCUUUCAUUGAGAGUUCCACUAUGUCGUCGACGAGAGGUUCGAUGGCUCCUUUAAUCGUCAGUCAUGACGUGGUCCAGGGAGAAACCUUCCUCCCUGGACAGAUCUUCGUAUUCGGCUUCGUACUACGGGCCAACUCGCUCGACCAUCUGGAGCAGAUCGACAGCUACGCCCCUGGCCAUCAGGUCAGAUUCGGAAGUUUGAACUACGUCGCGGACAUCCGUGGGGACUUGAUCUUCGACGAAUUUGAGACCGCGGCAACCGCUCCCCUUCGCCCCGUUGAACAUGGCUUAAACCUGUCCUUGGGCCGCAUCCAGGAGAUAGCUCCUAUAACAACUCUGGCCUUAGAUCCGGAGCAGAUCAAGACGUUCGAAGGUGGGAGACUCAACCCCAUCAUGAGGGCCACCGAGUCCGUGGCAUUGGGGCCACGCGCAGAUCCCUCUUCAUACAAUACCUGCACCAACGGAACCCCGGACUCGUCUCCGAUAUCGAGUUCCGAACCCUGCGAGCCCGUGGAUACCGAACUCGAUCGGUUAUCGAUCUUCAAGUUCAGCGCCGCGGACAUCUUCCAAUACUCGCCCAUGGGCGACCUACUAAACUCACUAAAAAACCUAUCCCUAGCAGACGGCUCACCGCCGAACUAUGUUCGGUUCGACCUUACGGCGGAUGAUGGAGAAUUUUGCUUCCCACCCGCCACCCACUUCAUAGCCACCGUCGAAGACCCAACCAACACGCCUGGCCUCUGCCCCGAAGACAUCGACGGUCUAGACGAUGAUGAGGGGCAGGGCCAGAACUUACUAUCCGCUAGACGCGGGACGACCACUUCCUGGUAGGACGCGUGCAUGGUAGACACACCCAACGACGAUCUCGACGAUGACAAGGAGGAUCCAGUCGAGGAUAAGCCUCCUGGUACACAGUCCGAACACCCGCGCCCCCCGCGCCACUCUCAGUCAUGCCACUCAAGAGAAAACAAUACUAGCACCGGAGGUGAUAAUACACCGGACAACGAAGACCCUGUUGAGGCAGGAUACGAACAGGAGGACCAGGAAAGCGGGGAAGAUAGCCCCGAUGAACAGGUCAUGUACGGAGACUCGAAGGAUAGUAAUUAUCUUCCCCUCUCCGAGGAGGAGGAGAGCCUCGACAACGAAGAAUUCAUCGUGCCGGAGGAACCUCUCGAGCAUGAGCGCUUUAAAUGCCGGCUAAUAGCCACAGCAAGGAAUCUAAGAAUAAAACAGCUGCAGCUUCAAGCAAGCCAAGAUCUGCUCAAUGAUAAAUGGACCGAGGUCCUAGCCACCAUAGAAUACGGCCCUAGUGGCCCGGACAAAAGCCACCCCAAGAACAGGUGGCUCCCUCCACAUGAAGGGAAGGCGUUGGAGCCCAUUCCACCAUUGAACAAUGCGGCAGGUCGACCACAGUUCGGUCCGGAUAAAGCAGCAGCCCAAGCAGAACAGCAUACUAACCAAUACGGCCGUAAGAACAACACGGUUCGGGAAAACAAUCGUGACAUCCGCCAAAGCUUAGUGGGCGGAGCAGGAGAGAUAAGAUCGACGUACAGAUCAAGGGGAUAUGCCCCGACCGGUGAUGAUGGUCAAUCAGCCGGACUUAACCGAGCCAACCACGCUUGAGGCCGCCAACGGCAUCCAACGGAGGUGCUUCACAGUUGUCGGCAUUCUGGGAACGGGGGUCCCCAGACUUGCCUGCCUGCGGCCCAUGGCGAGGCUAAGUCAGCGGGCCAUACGGCCCAUCUUCAUCAACGAGGCAUCCAAGACCCUCGUGAGCCAGACGAUGCAAGACCUCCUCAGGAGGGGCCUGGCCAGGCAGGCUCACGAGGAGCGGAGAUAUCAAGGCGGGGCAAACCUCAUGAGGCUCUCGUGACAUGAGCCAUGACGAUCGAGAGCAGGCGGGCGCCAGCGCGCGCAGCGUCCUUGUUUCCUCUUUGGUGCUAAGGAGGCCAGCGCAGGCGAGGAGUACCGAGGCAUCAGGCAAAGGUUGCCUUAUCGGUGCAACCAGACCAAGAUCAGAAGGACGGCAGGACGGAGGUCACCGUGGAGCCCAAGACGACAUCACCACCAGAGCCUUUGCAGGCGAAGACCACUUUUGUCAGGAUAGCUUGUACUAGCUGUCCCCCUUCAAAUUUGCCCGCCGUUGUUGGCUCCCUUCCCGCUCCAUAUUUGGGAAGAGGACCAGGGCCUAUAUAAGUAGAGCUAGCCACCACCGUAGGAGAUAACUCAUUCAGAGGCAUCUCACCCACACAAGUUCAUCGAGCACAAGAACACCUCAACCUCAGGAGGCUGUUCUGCCCCUUGUACUGUUCAUCAUCAGCCCAAGAGGCAAUCCACCACCACCACACUGGAGUAGGGUAUUACACCACAACAGUGGCCCGAACCAGUAUAAAUCUCGUGCCUUUCUGUGUUGUGAGUUGGUCGAGUUUGUCCGCGAGAUCUUAGCGAGCUAGGGCGUGGAUUGGUAGGAGGGAAAGAGCUUCACGCGCACCCCAGAGUUCGAACCUUAAGGGUUUUGCCGGAACCCCACAUCUGACAACAGUGUGGCCCAACAUAGAGGAGCCGCACACCCUCUUUGCUUCACCAACGAGGUAAUGGAGCACCACGGGUUUAAACCCAUCAACAUCGCAUCAUACGACGGAACAACAGAUCCCGCAGUAUGGAUUGAGGAUUACUCCUCCAUAUCCACCUGGCUCGCAUAGAUGACCUUCAUGCCAUUAAAUACCUGCCUCUCAAGCUUAAGGGUCUAGCGCGGUACUGGCUACACAGUUUGCCAGAAAAUUCUAUUGGCAGCUGGGAAGAUUUGGAAGACGCCUUUCAUGACAACUUCCAAGGAACAUAUGUCCGGCCAUCCGAUGCCAAUGACUUAAGUCACAUUGUCCAACAGCCCGGCGAGUCAGUCAGGGAACUCUGGACUAGGUUCUUAGUCAAAAAGAACCAAAUUGUCGACUGUUCGGACGUGGAAGCCCUUGCGGCCUUCAAAGACACCGUCCGGGAUGAAGGGCUAGCACGUCACCUCGGCCAGGAAGGACCUAAAUCCAUGACAGCCCUUACCGCUCUAAUGACUCGCUUUUGUGCGGGAGAAGACAACUGGCUCGCUCGUAAAAGCAACAAUGCCAGCGACCCGGGCACUUCCGAAAUCCGAGACGGCAACGGCAAGCCACGACUAAACGAACACAACAGUCCUGGCAAUAGUGAAAGAUUACGCGACACAUCGGUCAACGCAGGAUUUCACAAUCCGAAAACCGGUCAACGGAAGAAGCCAUUUAAGGCAAACCAGGAUGGACCAUCCACCCUCGACAGGAUAUUGGACCGACCUUGUCAAAUUCAUGGCCACCCUGAUAAGCCAGCUAAUCACACCAACAGAAACUGUUGGGUCUUUAAGCAAGCAGGCAAACUUAACGCCGAACGCAAUGGGAGGAGGCCACUAGGCGAUAAAGAUGACGGAUCGGCUCGCCAGCUGAACAUCAGGGGCCAGAAACAGUUUCCCUCCGAAGUUCGACCACUCCCAGAACGGAAGUAGCAGUUCGGCUUCCGCUACCCACCCGCUAUACCGGCAAGAUUCACACCACGCAUACAUCACUAUGCGCUCAAGAUACCAUGGGCACCGGCGGAAGCACAAUACGGGCAACCCUGCAAACAUUCCCGUAACGUUUUUUAUAUGUUUUCCAUAUUUUUCUUCAUUAUCUCUUAAAAACAGGUGACAAUUAGGACAGCAUCUAGUCGGACUCUAUUGGAGUUCGGACCCGUACACUCACCUAAGGGGCUACUUUCGUUAAGAACUCCCCUCCGAGAGGACGGGCGGCGCAGACGUGCGACAGGAGGUCCAAAAUAGCUUUUUGUAGACCGCACUCGUUAUUUUGAGCCUGUACUAUGCCCUUUUCCUCCGUUCCCGACCCCGAGCAUGUCAAAUAGCCGGGUUGUGGUUCUUCCUUUUUUAUACAAAUUUAUCAUUGGCAUAUUGCUCCACUCCCAGUAAACUUUAUCCGAGCUAACCUUAAAUACUCUGCAUACAAUGAGUACGGCCGUAACGGCUGUGUUACAGGACGCACCUCGGCAUAACUUGCCAGGGGCUCGGUAUGGGAACAAAUGAGUCACCAGUAAAAGUCCAAACAGCUCUAUAGCCUACUUCGGCGUCGCAAGCUUGGCCUUAUAUGCAUCAGCUCCGAAUCAUUGUCUUUGGUCAAUAGAUGGGUUGCCCGGCUCCUGUGUUUGCUACCCUAUGUUCCGCUCUAUCGGCUAGGGUAGUAAAGGGAGAACUACUGUGAUUGUGCCCUGGCUUUGACCGGAUGAGCGCCUCAGUAGAGAAAGCCAAAAACUGACUGUCAUGAUGCGACGAGAGCUGGUCAACCACUUGAUGACUUAUUCGAAUCUUUAGCGAUUCUCCGUGUUACGCGAAGGAUCUUUUUCAGAUCAAAACAUGUAAGGCACAAUAUUAGGAUACGCCGCAUACAUACCAGGGGCUAUGUCGUAGCCCCACCAUAAAACUCCUAUGGCUAAGUGAAAGUGUUAACGCCCUAUAGUCCGAUUGCCUGGUUCGCCGCAUUAUCACCUCCUUUAUGGACCAAGACGUUGGAUAAAGAGUGAUUCAAUGCUCUUCCAAACACCCCCGUAUUUCCUACGAGGGGGCUGAAGCCGACACUGGAAAACUUUCAAUUUAUAUUAAAACGUCCGCACAGGAGGAAUACAAGCUCUCGAGCAAAACAUAAAAAUAGAUUAACUAAAGUUGUCUGUUACAACCCUUGUACACAUCACUCGAAUAUUAUGUUUUUCGAGCACUGACCCUCUAUCAAGCGGGCGGCCUCAAGAAUGUCUUCAAAAUAACGCUCCGGUUCUGGACGGUCCUUGCGUUUGGGUGGACUCCUCGUCGCAACGUCAAUGGCCUUCAUCUUCCCCCAGAAUGUCUUGAGACGGGCGAAGGCCAUCCGUGCACCUUCAAUGCACACCGACCGCUUCACAACAUCGAUACGCGACACCACAUCAGCAAGCCGCUGCACCAGGCCGAAGUAACUACUAGGAACAGGUUCAGUUGGCCACAACCGGACUAUGACGUCCUUCAUGGCCGCGCCACAUAUCCUAUGCAGCUCGACCCACUAGGACAUCUGCUCAUUCGGCAACAGAGGGCACUUCGACGCGCCAAAUUGUGACCAAAAAAGCUUCUCCGUUGCAUACCCCUCUUGCGCAUGAUAAAACUGCGCCGCAUUGGAAGAACUCUUCGACAAAUCUAAAAAAUUGUCCGGAGAACUCCAUACUUGGUUAAGCUGAGCAUAGUUCGGAUCGCCGAACCUAGCCUGUAGAAAAAAGGGCUUGCCAGCCACAAUCUCCCCAGCUUGCCGGAUCUCCUCACGGGCUGCUCUGGCUUCAGACAGCGUUUCUCUCGCCUCUCAUAAGGCCUUGUCAAGUUCAACCAUUUUGGCUUCAUUUUCCUUCUCAAGAAGUUUAUAGCGGCUAGCUGCAUUUUCUAACUUGCGCGCCAUGGUGGACAUCGUCUCCUUGUCUUGACGCCGCGCGGCUUGUUCGGCCUUCAAUUCAGCCGAUGCCUUUUCGGCGGCCGCAUUACUAAACCGGGCCUGCUCCUUGGCCUGGGCUAGCUCCGCCCGAAGGGAUUCCACGGCGGCAGCACCAUCUGCAUUCAUGCACAUUUCAUAUCAAACUCUUUUCAGAGUCAGGCUUAAAUUACAGGCACAUUGGUAUAAGGAAUACUCGAAAUAUAUACCUUGCGAGUCAUCAAGACGCCUGUUGAUCAAAGCAAUGUCAUCCUCCACAAUAUCUAGCUUUCGCUGCAAUUCGGUCACCUCCGAAUUUCGGGCAGUGGCGGGAGGGGAGACAGCCUGCAUUCCAAAUUAAACCAAGGUUAGCACCUGAAAAUAUCUUUUCGAUCCUCCGAUCGCUUCCUUUGGAAGGCGACCCGAGUCUCAGGGGCUACUGCAUACACAACAGGUGCAUUCUGUCCAUAUUAUUCAAUUGGCAACAUUACAUCACAAACCUCAAAACCCCUCGGAAGGCUCGUAAAGGCCUCGUUCAACCCGCUCUUCGUGGAUAAAACCUUUUCGACCACCGUAACCAUUAAGGCACAGUGCUCCUCUGAAAUGGACGCUCGUCGCAGCAUGUCCGUCAGCGUCUCCGGCACUCCUGGGUCUUCGGACACCGCUGCCGGAGCACGACAUUCCUUUGGAGGAAUUCGCUUAGCCGCCUCCAGCAUUGUCUUCGGCUGUAAACUGGACAGUUCGGGGACGUCAUUCUUGAUCCCCAAACCCUGAGUGACAGAGGCACCACCUUCGGAUACCUCCUUCCUCGUUUCCUGCACUACCUGCUGGUUGGGUGGAGCCCUCUGGGACGACACCUCGAGAUUAUCCGCCCUGUUGGGCGAAGAGGCCGGAGAAGGCGUGUCACUCUCCAUCAUCUCUGGAAGAAGGUCUCCUGAGGAGGAGGACAAUUGAGAAACACCAGGUGUUAACCUGCGAGGAUGCACACAUGUUAGAGGAUUAUUUCAAUAACAAGGAAAAGAAUGAGGUAUGGUUGAAGUGCCCUGCUUCACUUACCGUCUGGCCGGAGGUUCGUCCUCACCAUCAAGCUCUACGAAGGCAUCGCUUGCCUGGCCCAAGCUGCCCGACGAGAGCAUUUUCCCUUUCUUGGAAGGUUUCCCCUCUUGACCUCCAGAAGCAGCCCUCUUCUUGCCAUGAAGUGCUCCCUCCACACCUUUGCCCCUGGGCAAAAGGGUUUCGGUUUCCCCGAACAUAGAGCUUAAAUCGCCCUAGGAUGGGCAUCACCUCUGGGCUCCCUGCUCUCGCCCCCUCUGCAGACACCAGGUACGGUGUCGGAGUCAACAUCCGCGUUAGUAGGGCGGACGCAGGGUCUUCGGGAAGGGGCGCCGGACACCAGAUUAACACCGCUUUCUUUAUCCAGUCCUGUAUAAGGAUGAGUUGCUCAGUGUCUUGUCAAGAGAUGCUUGGAUGAAAGGUGUACGACGAUUGAAUACUUACCGGAGUGUCCGGAUGAUUGCAGUCGAGGCCGACGUCUUCGGUGGUGUCCGGCCAUUGCUCUCGCUCCCCGAAAUAUAACUUCCACAUUCCUUCGUGCAUAGUGCCGAAGAAGUGCUGAAGAGUCCACCGCCCUUCUGGAUUAAACUCCCACAUACGGAGAGGCCGCCGCUGACACGGCAGGAUCCGGCGGACCAGCAUUACUUGAACGACGUUCACAAGUCGGAUGCGGCCUUGCAGAGUCUGCACCUUAUUAACGGAUCCCCAGUCCGAUCCCUUGUUGAUCCAUGAAACAAGCUGAGUUGGAGGGAUGGGUCGGAACGCAGGCGUAGCCACCCACUUGGAGCCCCGCGGCUCAUUGACAUAAAACCACCCCUGCUGCCAUAAUUCAGAAGACUUGGCGAAGGAUCCUUCAAACCAAACCGCGCUGGCGAGCUUGCUUAUUACAACGCUGCCACACUCCGCAUGCUCCUCCAUCACCCGCGGUCUCACAUCGAAAGUCUUGAGCCACAAACCAAAGUGUGGAGGAGUCCGGAGGAAGGCCUCACAUGUGACGAUGAAUGCCGAGAUGAGAGGAAAAGAGUGCGGGGCCAUAUCGUGAAAAUCUAGCCCAUGGUAGAACAUGAGCCCCCGGACGAAGGGGUUAAGUGCGAACCCUAACCCAUGGAGGAGGUGAGACACAAAUGCUACCCUCUCACCGGACUUGGGGGUGGGAAUAAUCUGCCCCUCAGCGGGAAGCCGAUGAAGGAUUUCUGGGGUCAGGUACCUCGCUACGCGGAGCUUCGCAAUAUCCUCCUCCGUGACGGAAGAGGCCACCCACCGGCCUGAACGGCUGGACCCGGACAUGAUUAGGGCUGGUGGUGGUUGGAACUCGAGGGCUGGAACUCGAGGAGGCUGGGGUUGAGGAAGAAGCAAGCACAGAAGAGAAAGACAAGUCUGGGUUCCUAUAUAAAGGCCCAGAAUAUUGAGCGUCCCCUCCCGGGUCAUGAAACUUACCUAUCCUCAAAGAGUUGUACCCAGGGGACGGUUGGGUUACCCAUACCUACAUUAUUGAAAAUCCCGGGAAUAAGGGGACACGAUCUCUGCUUUGACAAGACGUGCCAAUAAAACCGCUUCCCGAGACAUGGGGUGACGGGCUAGCCAACGGUUGGAAAUAAUAACCGGGCAGGCGUGAUACAAUGUCAUAAACAGUUGUCAGCAGAUGGGACUCGUGUAAAAUAUAUAAAUUCUCUCUGCGGUUCUGCGUGGUGUGUAACAGGUCCGGAUACAAUCAUCGCAUCCGAAGACUAUCUUGGAGUUCGGAAAAGGGGGAACCCGCCUUGCAAUGCCGAAGACAAUCUGCGCGCUGGACUCCUCGUCAUUGAAGCCAGGUUCAGGGGCUACUAAGGGAGUCCUGGACUAAGGGGUCCUCGAGCGUCCGGCCAGUUAUCUGUUGGGCCGGACUGAUGGGCUAUGAAGACAUGAAGGCCGAAGACUAUACCCGUGUCCGGAUUGGACUCUACUUAGGGUGGAAGGCAAGCUAGGCGACCGAUUAUGAAGAUUUCCUCCUAUGUAACCGACUCCAUGUAACCCUAGAUCUCUCCGGUGUCUAUAUAAACCGGAGGGCAUAGUCCGGAUAGGUCAGAUUCAUUACCAUAUACUCAUAGGCUAGACUUCUAGGGUUUAGCCAUUACGAUCUCGUGGUAGAUCAACUCUUGUAACACUCAUAUUCAUCAAGAUCAAUCAAGCAGGAAGUAGGGUAUUACCUCCAUAGAGAGGCCCGAACCUGGGUAAACAUUGUGUCCCCCGUCUCCUGUUACCAUCGAUCCUAGACGCACAGUUCGGGACCCCCUACCCGAGAUCCGCUGGUUUUGACACCGACACCUGUAUUUACAAGAAAGUGAGUGGAAGCACUACAGCCUUUCUGAUAAGUAUAUGCGAAUGACAUAUGGUUGAUCGGAAAUGAUGUAGUAUUUUCUGGAAAGCAUAAAGGAGUGUUUGAAAGGAGUUUUUCAAAGAAAGACCUCGGUGAAGCUGCUUACAUAUUGAGCAUCAAGAUCUAUAGAGAUAGAUCAAGACGCUUGAUAAGAUUUUCAAUGAGUAAAUACCUUGACAAGAUUUUGAAGUAGUUCAAAAUGGAACAGCCAAAGAAGGAGUUCUUGCCUGUAUUGCAAGGUGUAAAGUUGAGUAAGACUCAAAACCCAACCACGACAAAAAUUUAGAAAGAGAAUGAAAAGUCAUUCCGUAUGCCUCAGUAAUAGGUUCUAUAAAGUAUGCUAUGCUGUCUACCAGACCUAUUGUAUACCCUGCCCUGAGUUUGGCAAGCGAGUACAAUUUUUAUCUAAGAGUAGAUCACUAGACAGCGGUCAAAAUUAUCCUUAGAGGACUAAGGAAAUAUUUCUCGGUUAUGGAGGUGAUAAAGAGUUCGUCAUAAAGAGUUACAUCGAUGCAAUCUUUGACACCGAUCUGGAUGACUCUAAGUCACAAUCCGGAUACAUAUUGAAAGUGGGAGCAAUUAGCUAGAGUAGCUCCGUGCAGAGCAUUGUAGACAUAGAAAUUUGCAAAAUACAUACGGGUAUGUAUGUGACAGACCUGUAGACUAAAACUUCUCUCACAAACAAAACAUGAUCACACCAUAGUACUCUUUGGGUGUUAAUCCCAUGGCGAUGUGAACUAGAUUACUGACUCUAGUAAACCCUUUGGGUGUUGGUCACAUAGCGAUGUGAACUAUGGGUGUUAAUCACAUGGUGAUGUGAAUUAUUGGUGUUAAAUCACAUGGCGAUGUGAACUAAAUUAUUGACUCUUGUGCAAGCGGGAGACUGAAGGAAAUAUGCCCUAGAGGCAAUAAUAAAGUUAUUAUUUUAUUUCCUUAUAUCAUGAUAACUGUUUAUUAUUCAUGCUAGAAUUGUAUUAACCGGAAACUUGAUACAUGUGUGAAUACAUAGACAAAACAAAGUGUCCCUAGUAUGCCUUUACUUGACUAGCUCGUUAAUCAAAGAUGGUUAAGUUUCCUGACCAUAGACAUGUGUUGUCAUUUGAUGAACGAGAUCACAUCAUUAGGAGAAUGAUGUGAUGGACAAGACCCAUCCGUUAGCUUAGCAUGUUGAUCAUUCAGUUUUAUUGCUAUUGCUUUCUUCAUGACUUAUACAUGUUCCUCUAACUAUGAGAUUAUGCGACUCCCGAAUACUGGAGGAACACCUUGUGUGCUAUAAAACGUCACAACGUAACUGGGUGAUUAUAAAGAUGCUCUACAGGUGUCUCCGAAGGUGUUUGUUGGGUUGCCAUAGAUCAAAUUUAGGAUUUUUCACUUCGUGUAUCGGAGAGGUAUCUCUGGGCCCUCUCGGUAAUGCACAUCACUAUAAGCCUUGCAAGCAAUGUGACUAAUGAGUUAGUUAUGGGAUGAUGCAUUAUGGAACGAGUAAAGAGACUUGCCGGUAACGAGAUUGAACUAGGUAUGAGGAUACCGACGAUCGAAUCUCGGGCAAGUAACAUACCGAUGACAAAGAAACAACGUAUGUUGUUAUGCGGUUUGACCGAUAAAGAUCUUCAUAGAAUAUGUAGGAGCCAAUAUGAGCAUCCAGGUUCCGCUAUUGGUUAUUGACCAGAGAUGUGUCUCGGUCAUGUCUACAUAGUUCUCGAACCCGUAGGGUCCGCACGCUUAACGUUCGAUGACGAUUUGUAUUAUGAGUUAUGUGAUUUGAUGACCGAAGUUUGUUCGGAGUCCCGGAUGAGAUCACGGACAUGACGAGGGGUCUCGAAAUGGUCGAGACGUAAAGAUCGAUAUGUUGGAAGGCUAUAUUCGGACAUCGGAAAGGUUCUGAGUGGUUCAGGUAUUUUUCGGAGUACCGGAGAGUUACGGGAAUUCGUCGGGGGAAGUAUUGGGCUUUAAUGGGCCAUACGGGAAAGGAGAGAAGGGCCUCAAGGGGUGGCCGUGCACCCCCCAUGGGCUGGUCUGAAUUGGACUAGGAGGGGGUGGCGCCCCCCUCCUUCCUUCUCCCCUCUUCCUCCUUCCCUUCCUUCUCCUAGUUGGAAUAGGAAAGGGGGGGGGGGCGAAUCCUACUUAGACCGAGAUUCCAAGUAGGACUCCCCCCCUUGGCGCGCACCCUCUAGGGCUGGCCUCUCCUUCCUCCCUCCUUUAUAUACAUGGGCAGGGGGCACCCCAAAGGCACUCCAAGAUUUGUCUUAGCCGUGUGCGGUGCCCCCUCCACAGUUACACACCUCGGUCAUAUCGUCGUAGUGCUUAGGCGAAGCCCUGCGCCGAUAACUUCAUCAUCACCGUCACCACGCUGUCGUGCUGACGGAACUCUCCCUCGGCCUCAACUGGAUCAAGAGCUCGAGGGAUGUCAUCGAGCUGAACGUGUGCAGACGCGGAGGUGCCGUGCGUUCGGUACUUGGAUUGGUUGGAUCGUGAAGACGUUCGACUACAUCAACCGCGUUACUAAACGCUUCCGCUUUUGGUCUACGAGGGUACGUGGACACACUCUCCCCGCUCAUUGCUAUGCUUCUCCUAGAUAGAUCUUGCGUGAUCGUAGGAAUUUUUUUUAAAUACUACGUUCCACAACAUUGCCAAGAAACCCAAGUUGUCGUUUCUUAAAGUUUGGGGCUGCGAUGCUUAUGUGAAAAAGAUUCAACCUGAUAAGCUCGAACCCAAAUUGGAGAAAUGUGUCUUCAUAGGAUACCCAAAGGAAACUGUUGGGUACACCUUCUAACACAGAUCUGAAGGCAAAAUAUUCGUUGCUAAGAAUGGAUCCUUUCUAGAGAAGGAGUUUAUCUCGAAAGAAGUGAGUGGGAGGAAAGUAGAACUUGAUGAGGUAACUGUACCUGCUCCCUUAUUGGAAAGUAGUUCAUCACAGAAAUCAGUUCCAGUGAUUCCUACACCAAUUAGUGAGGAAGCUAAUGAUAAUGAUCAUGAAACUUCUGAUCAAGUUACUACCGAACCUCGUAGGUCAACCAGAGUAAGAUCCGCACCAGAAUGGUACGGUAAUCCUAUUCUGGAGGUCAUGUUGCUUGACCAUGACGAACCUACGAACUAUGAGGAAGCGAUGAUGAGCCCAGAUUCCACAAAAUGGCUUGAAGCCAUGAAAUCUGAGAUGGGAUCCAUUUAUGGGAACAAAGUGUGGACUUUGGUUGACUUGUCCGAUGGUCGGCAGGCCAUAGAGAAUAAAUGGAUCUUCAAUAAGAAGACUGACGCUAACGGUAAUUUUACUGUUUACAAAGCUCGACUUGUUGCGAAUGGUUUUUGACAAGUUCAAGGAGUUGACUAUGACGAGACCUUCUCACCCGUAGCAAUGCUUAAGUCCAUCCGAAUCAUGUUAGCAAUUGCCGCAUUUUAUGAUUAUGAAAUUUGGCAAAUGGAUGUCAAAACUGCAUUCCUAAAUGGAUUUCUGGAAGAAGAGUUGUAUAUGAUGCAACCAGAAGGUUUUGUCGAUCCAAAGGAUGCUAACAAAGUGUGCAAGCUCCAGCGAUCCAUUUAUGGACUGGUGCAAGCAUCUCGGAGUUGGAAUAAACGUUUUGAUAGUGUGAUCAAAGCAUAUGGUUUUAUACAGACUAUUGGAGAAGCCCGUAUUUACAAGAAAGUGAGUGGGAUCUCUGUAGCAUUUCUAAUAUUAUAUGUGGAUGACAUAUUGUUGAUUGGAAAUGAUAUAGAAUUUCUGGAUAGCAUAAAAGGAUACUUGAAUAAGAGUUUUUCAUUGAAAGACCUCGGUGAAGCUGCUUAUAUAUUGGGCAUCAAAAUCUAUAGAGAUAGAUCAAGACGCUUAAUUGGACUUUCACAAAGCACAUACCUUGAUAAAGUUUUGAAGAAGUUCAAAAUGGAUCAAGCAAAGAAAGGAUUCUUGCCUGUAUUACAAGGUGUGAAGUUGAGUCAGACUCAAUGCCCGACCACUUCAGAAGAUAGAGAGAAAUUGAAAGUCAUUCCCUAUGCUUCAGCCAUAGGUUCUAUCAUGUAUGCAAUGCUUUGUACCAGACCUGAUGUGUGCCUUGCUAUUAGUUUAGCAGGGAGGUACCAAAGUAAUCCAGGAGUGGAUCACUGGAGCGGUCAAGAACAUCCUGAAAUACCUGAAAAGGACUAAGGAUAUGUUUCUCGUUUAUGGAGGUGAUAAAGAGCUCGUCGUAAAUGGUUACGUCGAUGCAAGCUUUGACACUGAUCCGGAUGACUCUAAGUCACAAACCGGAUACAUAUUUAUAUUAAAUGGAGGAGCUGUAAGUUGGUGCAGUUCCAAACAGAGCGCCGUGGCGGGAUCUACGUGUGAAGCGGAGUACAUAGCUGCUUCGGAAGCAACAAAUGAAGGAGUCUGGAUGAAGGAGUUCAUAUCUGAUCUAGGUGCCAUACCUAGUGCAUCGGGUCCAAUGAAAAUCUUUUGUGACAAUACUGGUGCAAUUGCCUUGGCAAAGGAAUCCAGAUUUCAAAAGAGAACCAAGCACAUCAAGAGAUGCUUCAAUUCCAUCCGCGAUCAAGUCAAGGAGGGAGACAUAGAGAUUUGCAAGAUACAUACGGAUCUGAAUGUUGCAUACCCGUUGACUAAGCCUCUCUCACGAGCAAAACAUGAUCAGCACCAAGACUCCAUGGGUGUUAGAAUCAUUACAAUGUAAUCUAGAUUAUUGACUCUAGUGCAAGUGGGAGACUGAAGGAAAUAUGCCCUAGAGGCAAUAAUAAAGUUGUUAUUUAUAUUUCCUUAUAUCAUGAUAAAUAUUUAUUAUUCAUGCUAGAAUUGUAUUAACCGGAAACUUAGUACAUGUGUGAAUACAUAGACAAACAGACUGUCCCUAGUACGCCUCUACUAGACUAGCUCGUUGAUCAAAGAUGGUUAAUUUUCCUAGCCAUAGACAUGUGUUGUCAUUUGAUGAACGGGAUCACAUCAUUAGAGAAUGAUGUGAUGGACAAGACCCAUCCGUUAGCUUAGCACUUUGAUCGUUUAGUUUAUUGCUAUUGCUUUCUUCAUGACUUAUACAUGUUCCUAGGACUAUGAGAUUAUGCAACUCCCGAAUACCGGAGGAACACUUAGUGUGCUAUCAAACGUCACAACGUAACUGGGUGAUUAUAAAGAUGCUCUACAGGUGUCUCCGAUGGUGUUUGUUGAGUUGGCAUAGAUCAAGAUUACGAUUUGUCACUCUGAUUGUCAGAGAGGUAUCACUAGGCCCUCUCGGUAAUGCAAAUCACUCUAAGCCUUGCAAGCAAAGUGACUAAUGAGUUAGUUGAGGGAUGAUGCAUUACAGACCGAGUAAAGAGACUUGCCGGUAACGAUAUAGAACUAGGUAUGGUGAUACCGAUGAUCGAAUCUCGGGCAAGUAACAUACCAAUGACAAAGGGAAGAACGUAUGUUGUUAUGCGGUUUGACCGAUAAAGAUCUUCGUAGAAUAUGUAGGAGCCAAUAUGAGCAUCCAGGUUCCGCUAUUGGUUAUUGACCGGAGAGGUGUCUCGGUAAUGUCUACAUAGUUCUUGAACCCGUAGGGUCCGCACGCUUAAUGUUCGAUGACGAUUCAUAUUAUGAGUUUAUGUGUUUUGAUGUACCGAAGGUUGUUCGGAGUCCAGGAUGAGAUCACGGACAUGACGAGGAGUCUCGAAAUGGUCGAGACAUAAAGAUUGAUAUAUUGGAAGUUUAUAUUCGGACAACGGAAUGGUUUUGAAGUGUAUCGGGUAUUUUCCGGAGUACCGGGAGGUUACCGGAAACCCCCGGGGGAUUAAUGGGCCACAAUGGGCCUUGGUGGAGAAGAGAGAGGGCCGGCCAGAGGUGGCGCCCCCCCUUGCCCAGUCCGAAUUGGACACGGGGAAGGCCCCCCCUCUUCCUUCUCUUCUCUCCUCUUUCCCUUCUUCUCCUUCUUGGACUAGGAAAGGGGGAAACCUACUCCUCCUAGGAGUAGGAUUCCUCCCCCCUUGGCGCGCACCUUGUGGCCGGCCGUCCUCCUCCUCCUCUCCUUUAUAUACGGGGGAGGGGGCACCCCAUAGACACACAAGUUGAUCUUUAGCCAUGUGCGGUGCCCCCUCCACAGUUUCCACCUCGGUCAUAUUCUCGUAGUGCUUACGCGAAGCCCUGCGUCGGUAACUUCAUCAUCACUGUCACCACGCCAUCGUGCUGACGAAACUCUCCCUCGACCUCAGCUGGAUCUAGAGUUCGAGGGACAUCACUGAGCUGAACGUGUGCAGAUCGCGGAGGUGUCAUGCGUUCGGUACUUGAUCGGUUGGAUCGCGAAGACGUUCGACUACAUCAACCGUGUUACUAAACGCUUCCGCUUUCGGUCUAGGAGAGUACGUGGACACACUCUCCCCGCUCGUUGCUAUGCUUCUCCUAGAUAGAUCUUGCGUGAUCGUAGGAUUUUUUUUUGAAAUACUACGUUCCCCAACAUCUCUGUCCUCUCUCCUUCUCUCCUCCCUCCCCCAUCCCGGCCUCCUCCCUCCCUCUCUCCUCCCUCCCUCUCUCCUCCCUCCCUCCCUCCCUUCCUCCCUCCUAAAUCUAUGUUUUUUGAAUAAAAUAGAACAUAUAGGUUAUAUGAACAGAAUGUAGGUAUUUUGACUAGAAUAAAAUAUAAAAUAUAGCUAGAAUGGAGGUUUUACGAAUAGAAAAGAAAACUAGCAAAUAUGUUUUUUGAAUAUAAAAAGUUUUAGUAAUACAAAAUUAGUAAAAGAAAAUUUUAGUAAUACAAAAUUUUAGUAAUAGAGAUUUUUAGGUAUAGAAAAUUUUCAAUUAUAGAAAUGUAUUGGAAUGCUAUAUGAGAAAUUUUUAGGUAUUGAAUUUAGUAAUAAUUUUUUUAGGUAUCUAAUUUUUUUCACUCGGUGGAAUAUGCAUGCUUUGUAGAGUCGCGUCUUGAUGUCUACUACGCAACUUUAUUCUUGUAGACACGUGUUGGGCCUCCAAGCGUAGAGUUUUGUAGGACAGUAGCAAUUUCCCCUCAAGUGGAUGACCUAAGGUUUAUCAAUCCGUGGGAGGCGUAGGAUGAAGAUAGUCUCUCUUGAACAACCCUGCAACCAAAUAACAAAGAGUCUCUUUUGUCCCCAACACACCGAAUACAAUGGUAAUUUGUAUAGGUGCACUAGUUCGGCGAAGAGAUGGUGAUACAAGUGUAAUAUGGAUAGUAGAUAUUGUUUAUUAAUAAGAACAAUAAAAAACAGCAAGGUAGCAAUUGAUAAAACGGAGCAUAAACGAUAUUGCAAUGCUUGAAAAUGAGGCCUAGGGUCCGUAUUUUCGCUAGUGCAGUCUCCCAACAAUGCUAAUAUAAUUGGAUCAUAUAACCAUCCCUCAAAGUGUGAUGAAGAAUCACUCCAAAGUUCCUAUCUAGAAGAGAACAUCAGAAGAAAUUGUUUCUAGGGUACGAAACCACCUCGAAGCUGUUCUUUCCGAUCGAUCUAUCCAAGAGUUCAUACUAAAUAACACCAAACAAUUUCAGAUUCAUAAUACUCAAUCCAACACAAAGAACCUCAAAGAGUGCCCCAAGAUUUCUACCGGAGAAACAAAGACGAGAACGUGCAUCAACCCCUAUGCAUAGAUUACCCCAAUGUCACCUCGGGAAUCCGCGAGUUGAGUGCCAAAACAUAUAUCAAGUGAAUCAAUAGGAUACCCCAUUGUCACCACGAGUAUUCAUAUGCAAGACAUAUAUCAAGUGCUAUCAAAUCCGUAAAAGUAUUCAAUCUGAUAAAAUGAAAUCUCAAAGGGGAAGCUCAAUUCAUCACAACAAGAUAGAGAGGGGAAAACACCAUAUGAUCCGACUAUAUUAACAAAGCCCGCGAUACAUCAAGAUCAUCAUAUCUCAAGAACACGAGAGAGAGAGAGAUUAAACACAUAGCUACUGGUAGAAACCCUCAGCCCCGAGGGUGGACUACUCCCUCCUCAUCGUGGUGGCCGCCGGGAUGAUGAAGAUGGCCACCGGUGAUGAUCUCCCCCUCCGGCAGGGUGCCGAAAUGGGGUCUAGAUUGAUUUCUCAUGGCUACAGAGCCUUGUGGCGGCGGAACUUCUGAUCUAGGGUAACCCCGAGGGUUUUUGGAAUAUUUGGUGAAUUAUAGGGCAAAGAGGGGGCGCGGGAGACCACCGAGGUGGGCACAACCCACCUGGGCGCGCCUGGGCCCCCAGGCGCGCCCUGGUGGGUUGUGCCCCCCUCAGGGCACCCCCCAGGUGCUUCUCUGGCCCACUGGAUGUCUUCUGGUCUAUAAAAACUCCAUAAAAAGUUUCACGGUGUUUGGACUCUGUUUGAUAUUAAUUUCCUGCGAUGUAAAAAACAAGCAAAAAACAGCAACUGGCACUGGGCACUGGGUCAAUAGGUUAGUCCCAAAAAAUGAUAUAAAGUUGCUAUAAAAUGAUUGUAAAACAUCCAAGAAUGGUAAUAUAACAACAUGAAUACUUCAUAAAUUAUAGAUACGUUGGAGACGUAUCAGCAUCCCCAAGCUUAAUUCCUACUCGUCCUCGAGUAGGUAAAUGAUAAAAGAAAUAAUUUAUGAAGUGUGAAUGCUAGCAAAGUGCAUAUUUUUUAUCAAUGAUAAUUUCAAUCACUUUUCCUAGCAUCAUAACAACAAUUCUUUCUUAUAAAACUUCUCAUGAUAAAGUAGCAACCAAUUCACAUGUUAAGUUUCAAACAAUGAAUUCUCUUGAAACUCAACAACCUAUGUUCUCAGUCACCAAGCAAUUGCAAUUUCAACUUAUUCAACAGUGUCUAAGUAAGAGCUCCACAUACUCAACCAUCAUAUAGUCUUCUAUGAUUGCUAACACUCACCGCAUACACAUGAGCAAAACAUUUCAACCGGACACAUAGGAAGAUAGAGGCUCAUAAUUUCACCUCCCAACGUAUUCACCUCAAGGGUGAUGUCAACAAUAACAACUCAUGCUACCCAUAUCCGACUGGAUAUAUGUGCCUAGAUCUUUCCUCACCACAUGAUGCUUGCCAAAAGAGAAAAAUAAAAAGGAAUAGAGGGAAAAACUUUGACUCUUGCAUGAAAGUAAAUACAUAAAAGUAAAAUGUAGGCCCUUCAUAGAGGGAAGCAGAGGUUGCCAUGCGCUUUUUGUUUGUAUGCUCAACCCCUUAGUGCAAAAGACGUCACGUUAUAUUGCCCCUUAUGAUAGCAACCUUUAUUAUGCAGUCUGUCGCUUUUAUUCUUUGCCAUCACAAGUUUGUACAAUGCUCAAUUUUCUCUUACACUAAAUGAUCUAAUACUUUUAGAAGCAAGUUUUAUUACCUUAUUGCACCGAUGACAACUUACUUGAAGGAUAUUACUCAAUCCUUAGGUAGGUAUGGUGGACUCUUGAAAAUAAGAUUUGGGUUUAAGGGGUUUUGGAUGCACAAGUUGAAGGAAAUAUGCUCUAGAGGCAAUAAUAAAGUUAUUAUUUAUUUCCUUAUAUCAUGAUAAAUGUUUAUUAUUCAUGCUAUAAUUGUAUUAACCGGAAACAUAAUACAUGUGUGAAUACAUAGACAAACAGAGUGUCACUAGUAUGCCUCUACUUGACUAGCUCGUUGAUCAAAGAUGGUUAUGUUUCCUAGCCAUAGACAUGAGUUGUCAUUUGAUUAACGGGAUCACAUCAUUAGGAGAUUGAUGUGAUUGACUUGACCCAUUCCGUCAGCUUAGCACUCGAUCGUUUAGUAUGUUGCUAUUGCUUUCUUCAUGACUUAUACAUGUUCCUAUGACUAUGAGAUUAUGCAACUCCCGUUUACCGGAGGAACACUUUGUGUGCUACCAAACGUCACAACGUAACUGGGUGAUUAUAAAGGUGCUCUACAGGUGUCUCCGAAGGUACUUGUUGGGUUGGCGUAUUUCGAGAUUAGGAUUUGUCACUCCGAUUGUCGGAGAGGUAUCUCUGGGCCCUCUCGGUAAUGCACAUCACUUAAGCCUUGCAAGCAUUGCAACUAAUGAGUUUGUUGCGGGAUGAUGUAUUACGGAAUGAGUAAAGAGACUUGCGGGUAACGAGAUUGAACUAGGUAUUGAGAUACCGACGAUCGAAUCUCGGGCAAGUAACAUACCGAUGACAAAGGGAACAACGUAUGUUGUUAUGCGGUCGGACCGAUAAAGAUCUUCGUAGAAUAUGUCAGAGCCAAUAUGAGCAUCCAGGUUGCGCUAUUGGUUAUUGACCGGAGACGUGUCUCGUUCAUGUCUACAUAGUUCUCGAACCCGUAGGAUCCGCACGCUUAAAGUUUCGAUGACAGUUAUAUUAUGAGUUUAUAUGUUUUGAUAUACCGAACGGAGUCCCGGAUGUGAUCACGGACAUGACGAGGAAUCUCGAAAUGGUCGAGACAUGAAGAUUGAUAUAUUGGAAGCCUAUGUUUGGAUAUCAAAAAUGUUCCGGGUGAAAUCGGAAUUUUACCAGAGUACCGGGAGGUUACCGGAACCCCUCGGGGGCUUAAUGGGCCAUAGUGGGCCUUAGUGAAAGAGAGGAGAGGCGGCCAGGGCAGGGCCGCGUGCCCCCCCCUAGUCCGAAUAGGACAAGGAGAGGGGGGGCGCCCCCCUUUCCUUCCUCUCUCCCUCCUCUUUCCCCCUCCACUCCUAGUCCAACAAGGAAAAGGGAGGGAGUCCUACUCCCGGUGGGAGUAGGACUCCUCCUGGCGCGCCCCUCCUGGCCGGCCGCACCUCUCCCCCUUGCUCCUUUAUAUACAGGGCAGGGGGGCACCCUAGAGACACAACAAUUGAUCGUCUGAUCUUUUAGCCGUGUGCGGUGCCCCCCUCCACCAUAGUCCACCUCGAUAAUACUGUAGCAGUGCUUAGGCAAAGCCCUGCGUCGGUAGAACAUCAUCAUCAUCACCACGCCGUCGUGCUGACAAAACUCUCCCUCAACACUCGGCUGGAUCGGAGUUCGAGGGACGUCAUCGGGCUGAACGUGUGCUGAACUCGGAGGUGCCGUACGUUCGGUACUUGAUCGGUCGGAUCGUGAAGACGUACGACUACAUCAACCGCGUUGUGCUAACGCUUCCGCUUUCGGUCUACGAGGGUACGUAGACAACACUCUCCCCUCUCGUUGCUAUGCAUCACCAUGAUCUUGCGUGUGCGUAGGAAAUUUUUUGAAAUUACUAUGUUCCCCAACAGUGGUAUCAGAGCCAGGUUUUAUGCGUUGAUGUUAUAUGCACAAGUAGAACACAAGUGAGUUGUGGGCGAUAUAAGUCAUACUGCUUACCAGCAUGUCAUACUUUGGUUCGGUGGUAUUGUUGGAUGAAGCGGCCCGGACCGACAUUACGCGUACGCUUACGCGAGACUGGUUCUUCCGACGUGCUUUGCACAGAGGUGGCUGGCGGGUGUCAGUUUCUCCAACUUUAGUUGAACCGAGUGUGGCUACGCCCGGUCCUUGCGAAGGUUAAAACAACACCAACUUGACAAACUAUCGUUGUGGUUUUGAUGCGUAGGUAAGAACGGUUCUUGCUAAGCCCAGUAGCAGCCACGUAAAACUUGCAACAACAAAGUAGAGGACGUCUAACUUGUUUUUGCAGGGCAUGUUGUGAUGUGAUAUGGUCAAGACAUGAUGCUAAAUUUUAUUGUAUGAGAUGAUCAUGUUUUGUAACCGAGUUAUCGGCAACUGGCAGGAGCCAUAUGGUUGUCGCUUUAUUGUAUGCAAUGCAAUUGCCCUGUAAUGCUUUACUUUACCACUAAGUGGUAGCGAUAGUCGUAGAAGCAUAAGAUUGGCGAGACGACAACGAUGCUAUGAUGGAGAUCAAGGUGUCACGCCGGUGACGAUGGUGAUCAUGACGGUGCAUCGAAGAUGGAGAUCACAAGCACAAGAUGAUGAUGGCCAUAUCAUAUCACUUAUAUUGAUUGCAUGUGAUGUUUAUCUUUUAUGCAUCUUAUCUUGCUUUGAUUGACGGUAGCAUUAUAAGAUGAUCCCUCACUAAAUUAUCAAAGUAUAAGUGUUCUCCCUGAGUAUGCACCGUUGCGAAAGUUCUUCAUGCUGAGACACCACGUGAUGCUCGGGUGUGAUAGGCUCUACAUUCAAAUACAACGGGUGCAAAACAGUUGCACACGCGGAAUACUCAGGUUAAGCUUGACGAGCCUAGCAUAUAACAGAUAUGGCCUCGGAACACGGAGACCGAAAGGUCGAGCGUUAAUCAUAUAGUGGAUAUGAUCAACAUAGUGAUGUUCACCGUUGAAACUACUCCAUCUCACGUGAUGAUCGGACAUGGUUUAGUUGAUAUGGAUCACGUGAUCACUUAGAGGAUUAGAGGGAUGUCUAUCUAAGUGGGAGUUCUUAAGUAAUAUGAUUAAUUGAACUUAAAUUUAUCAUGAACUUAGUACCUGAUAGUAUCUUGCUUGUCUAUGUUGAUUGUAGAUAGAUGGCCCGUGCUGUUGUUCCGUUGAAUUUUAAUGCGUUCCUUGAGAAAGCAAAGUUGAAAGAUAAUGGUAGCAAUUACACGGACUGGGUCCGUAACUUGAGGAUUAUCCUCAUUGCUGCACAUAAGAAUUACGUCCUGGGAGCACCGCUGGGUGCCAGACCUGCUGCAAGAGAAACACCAGAUGUUAUGAACGUCUGGCAGAGCAAAGCUGAUGACUACUCGAUAGUUCAGUGUGCCAUGCUUUACGGCUUAGAACCGGGUCUUCAACGACGUUUUGAACAUCAUGGAGCAUAUGAGAUGUUCCAGGAGUUGAAGUUAAUAUUUCAAGCAAAUGCCCGGAUUGAGAGAUAUGAAGUCUCCAAUAAGUUCUACAGCUGCAAGAUGGAAGAGAAUAGUUCUGUCAGUGAGCAUAUACUCGAAAUGUCGGGGUAUAACAAUCACUUGAUUCAACUGGGAGUUAAUCUUCUGGAUGAUAGCGUCAUUGACAGAAUUCUUCAAUCACUGCCACCAAGCUACAAGAGCUUCGUGAUGAACUAUAACAUGCAAGGGAUGGAUAAGACGAUUCCCGAGCUCUUCGCAAUGCUAAAGGCUGCGGAGGUAGAAAUCAAAAAGGAGCAUCAAGUGUUGAUGGUCAAUAAGACCACCAGUUUCAAGAAAAAGGGCAAAGGGAAGAAGAAGGGGAACUUCAAGAAGAACAACAAGCAAGUUGCUAUUCAGGAGAAGAAACCCAAGUCUGGACCUAAGCCUGAGACUGAGUGCUUCUACUGCAAGCAGACUGGUCACUGGAAGCGGAACUGCCCCAAGUAUUUGGCGGAUAAGAAGGAUGGCAAGGUGAACAAAGGUAUAUGUGAUAUACAUAUUAUUGAUGUGUACCUUACUAAUGCUCGCAGUAGCAGCUGGGUAUUUGAUACUGGUUCUGUUGCUAAUAUUUGCAACUCGAAGCAGGGGCUACGGAUUAAGCGAAGAUUGGCUAAGGACGAGGUGACGAUGCGCGUGGGAAAUGGUUCCAAAGUCGAUGUGAUCGCGGUCGGCACGCUACCUCUACAUCUACCUUCGGGAUUAGUUUUAGACCUGAAUAAUUGUUAUUUGGUCCCAGCGUUGAGCAUGAACAUUAUAUCUGGAUCUUGUUUGAUGCGAGACAGUUAUUCAUUUAAAUCAGAGAAUAAUGGUUGUUCUAUUUAUAUGAGUAAUAUCUUUUAUGGUCAUGCACCCUUGAAGAGUGGUCUAUUUUUGUUGAAUCUCGAUAGUGGAGAUACACAUAUUCAUAGUAUUGAAGCCAAAAGAUGCAGAGUUGAUAAUGAUAGUGCAACUUAUUUGUGGCACUGCCGUUUAGGUCAUAUCGGUGUAAAGCGCAUGAAGAAACUCCAUACUAACGGACUUUUGGAUCCACAUGAUUAUGAAUCACUUGGUACUUCCGAACCGUGCCUCAUGGGCAAGAUGACUAAAACGCCGUUCUCCAGAACUAUGGAGAGAGCAACAGAUUUGUUGGAAAUCAUACAUACAGAUGUAUGUGGUCCGAUGAAUGUUGAGGCUCGUGGCGGAUAUCGUUAUUUUCUCACCUUCACAGAUGAUUUAAGCAUAUAUGGGUAUAUCUACUUAAUGAAACAUAAGUCUGAAACAUUUGAAAAUUUCAAAGAAUUUCAGAGUGAAGUUGAAAAUCAUCGUAACAAGAAAAUAAAGUUUCUACGAUCUGAUCGUGGAGGAGAAUAUUUGAGUUAUGAGUUUGGUCUUCAUUUGAAACAAUGCGGAAUAGUUUCGCAACUCACGCCACCCGAAACACCACAGCGUAAUGGUGUGUCCGAACGUCGUAAUCGUACUUUACUAGAUAUGGUGCGAUCUAUGAUGUCUCUUACUGAUUUACCGCUAUCAUUUUGAGGUUAUGCUUUAGAGACGGCCGCAUUCACGUUAAAUAGGGCACCAUCAAAAUCCGUUGAGACGACGCCUUAUGAACUGUGGUUUGGCAAGAAACCAAAGUUGUCGUUUCUUAAAGUUUGGGGCUGCGAUGCUUAUGUGAAAAAUCUUCAACCUGAUAAGCUCGAACCCAAAUCGGAGAAAUGUGUCUUCAUAGGAUACCCAAAGGAGACUGUUGGGUACACCUUCUAUCACAGAUUCGAAGGCAAGACUUUUGUUGCAAAAUUCGGAAUCUUUCUGGAGAAGGAGUUUCUCUCGAAAGAAGUGAGUGGGAGGAAAGUGGAACUUGAUGAGGUAACUGUACCUGCUCCCUUAUUGGAAAGUAGUUCAUCGCAGAAACCAGUUUCCGCGACGCUUAUACCAAUUAGUGAGGAAGUUAAUGAUGAUGAUCAUGGAACUUCAGAUCAAGUUAUUACUGAACCUCGUAGGUCAACCAGAGUAAGAUCCGCACCAGAGUGGUAUGGUAAUCCUGUUCUGGAGGUUAUGUUACUAGACCAUGACGAACCUACGAACUAUGAAGAAGCGAUGGUGAGCCCAGAUUCUGCAAAAUGGCUUGAAGCCAUGAAAUCUGAGAUGGGAUCCAUGUAUGAGAACAAAGUGUGGACUUUGGUUGACUUGCCCGAUGAUCGGCAAGCAAUUGAGAAUAAAUGGAUCUUCAAGAAGAAGACUGACGCUGACGGUAAUGUUACUAUCUAUAAAGCUCGACUUGUUGCAAAAGGUUUUCGACAAGUUCAAGGGAUUGACUACGAUGAGACCUUCUCAUCCGUAGCGAUGCUUAAGUCUGUCCGAAUCAUGUUAGCAAUUGCCGCAUUUUAUGAUUAUGAAAUUUGGCAAAUGGAUGUCAAAACUGCAUUCCUGAAUGGAUUUCUGGAAGAAGAGUUGUAUAUGAUGCAACCGGAAGGUUUUGUCGAUCCAAAGGGAGCUAACAAAGUGUGCAAGCUCCAGCGAUCCAUUUAUGGACUGGUGCAAGCCUCUCGGAGUUGGAAUAAACGCUUUGAUAGUGUGAUCAAAGCAUUUGGUUUUGUACAGACUUUUGGAGAAGCCUGUAUUUACAAGAAAGUGAGUGGGAGCUCUGUAGCAUUUCUGAUAUUAUAUGUGGAUGACAUAUUGCUGAUUGGAAAUGAUAUAGAAUUUCUGGAUAGCAUAAAGGGAUACUUGAAUAAGAGUUUUUCAAUGAAAGACCUCGGUGAAGCUGCAUAUAUAUUAGGCAUCAAGAUCUAUAGAGAUAGAUCAAGAUGCUUAAUUGGACUUUCACAAAGCACAUACCUUGACAAAGUUUUGAAGAAGUCCAAAAUGGAUCAAGCAAAGAAAGGGUUCUUGCCUGUAUUACAAGGUGUGAAGUUGAGUAAGACUCAAUGCCCGACCACUGCAGAAGAUAGAGAGAAGAUGAAGGAUUUUCCCUAUGCUUCAGCCAUAGGCUCUAUCAUGUAUGCAAUGCUGUGUACCAGACCUGAUGUGUGCCUUGCUAUAAGUCUAGCAGGGAAGUACCAAAGUAAUCCAGGAGUGGAUCACUGGACAGCGGUCAAGAACAUCCUGAAAUACCUGAAAAGGACUAAGGAUAUGUUUCUCGUUUAUGGAGGUGACAAAGAGCUCAUCGUAAAUGGUUACGUUGAUGCAAGCUUUGACACUGAUCCGGACGAUUCUAAAUCGCAAACUGGAUACCUGUUUACAUUAAAUGGUGGAGCUGUCAGUUGGCUGGAUCUACGUGUGAAGCGGAAUACAUAGCUGCUUCGGAAGCAGCAAAUGAAGGAGUCUGGAUGAAUGAGUUCAUAUCCGAUCUAGGUGUCAUACCUAGUGCAUCGGGUUCAAUGAAAAUCUUUUGUGACAAUACUGGUGCAAUUGCCUUGGCGAAGGAAUCCAGAUUUCACAAGAGAACCAAGCACAUCAAGAGACGCUUCAAUUCCAUCCGGGAUUUAGUCCAGGUGGGAGACAUAGAAAUUUGCAAGAUACAUACGGAUCUGAAUGUUGCAUACCCGUUUACUAAGCCUCUUCCACGAGCAAAACAUGAUCAACACCAAGGCUCCAUGGGUGUUAGAAUCAUUACUGUGUAAUCUAGAUUAUUGACUCUAGUGCAAGUGGGAGACUGAAGGAAAUAUGCCCUAGAGGCAAUAAUAAAGUUAUUAUUUAUUUCCUUAUAUCAUGAUAAAUGUUUAUUAUUCAUGCUAGAAUUGUAUUAACCGGAAACAUAAUACAUGUGUGAAUACAUAGACAAACAGACUGUCACUAGUAUGCCUCUACUUGACUAGCUCGUUGAUCAAAGAUGGUUAUGUUUCCUAGCCAUAGACAUGAGUUGUCAUUUGAUUAACGGGAUCACAUCAUUAGGAGAAUGAUGUGAUUGACUUGACCCAUUCCGUCAGCUUAGCACUCGAUCGUUUAGUAUGUUGCUAUUGCUUUCUUCAUGACUUAUACAUGUUCCUAUGACUAUGAGAUUAUGCAACUCCCGUUUACCGGAGGAACACUUUGUGUGCUACCAAACGUCACAACGUAACUGGGUGAUUAUAAAGGUGCUCUACAGGUGUCUCCGAAGGUACUUGUUGGGUUGGCGUAUUUCGAGAUUAGGAUUUGUCACUCCGAUUGUCGGAGAGGUAUCUCUGGGCCCUCUCGGUAAUGCACAUCACUUAAGCCUUGCAAGCAUUGCAACUAAUGAGUUUGUUGCGGGAUGAUGUAUUACGGAAUGAGUAAAGAGACUUGCGGGUAACGAGAUUGAACUAGGUAUUGAGAUACCGACGAUCGAAUCUCGGGCAAGUAACAUACCGAUGACAAAGGGAACAACGUAUGUUGUUAUGCGGUCUGACCGAUAAAGAUCUUCGUAGAAUAUGUCAGAGCCAAUAUGAGCAUCCAGGUUCCGCUAUUGGUUAUUGACCGGAGACGUGUCUCGGUCAUGUCUACAUAGUUCUCGAACCCGUAGGAUCCGCACGCUUAAAGUUUUGAUGACAGUUAUAUUAUGAGUUUAUAUGUUUUGAUGUACCGAAGAUUGUUCGGAGUCCCGGAUGUGAUCACGGACAUGACGAGGAGUCUCGAAAUGGUCGAGACAUGAAGAUUGAUAUAUUGGAAGCCUAUGUUUGGAUAUCGAAAAUGUUUCGGGUGAAAUCGGAAUUUUACCGGAGUACCGGGAGGUUACCGGAACCCCCCGGGGGCUUAAUGGGCCAUAGUGGGCCUUAGUGGAAGAGAGGAGAGGCAGCCAGGGCAAGGCCGCGCGCCCCUCCCCCCUAGUCUCAAUAGGACAAGGAGAGGGGGGCGGCGCCCCCCUUUCCUUCCUCUCUCCCUCCUCUUUCCCCCUCCACUCCUAGUCCAACAAGGAAAAGGGAGGGAGUCCUACUCCCGGUGGGAGUAGGACUCCUCCUGGCGCACCCCUCCUGGCCGGCCGCACCUCUCCCCCUUGCUCCUUUAUAUACGGGGGCAGGGGGCACCCUAGAGACACAACAAUUGAUCGUCUGAUCUUUUAGCCGUGUGCGGUGCCCCCCUCCACCAUAGUCCACCUCGAUAAUACUGUAGCGGUGCUUAGGCGAAGCCCUGCGUCGGUAGAACAUCAUCAUCGUCACCACGCCGUCAUGCUGACGAAACUCUCCCUCAACACUCGGCUGGAUCGGAGUUCGAGGGACGUCAUCGGGCUGAACGCGUGCUGAACUCGGAGGUGCCGUACGUUCGGUACUUGAUCGGUCGGAUCGUGAAGACGUACGACUACAUCAACCGCGUUGUGCUAACGCUUCCGCUUUCGGUCUACGAGGGUACGUAGACAACACUCUCCCCUCUCGUUGCUAUGCAUCACCAUGAUCUUGCGUGUGCGUAGGAAUUUUUUUAAAAUUACUACGUUCCCCAACACAAGUAGUAUCUCUACUUGGUGUGGAAUUUUUGGCUAGCAAAGAUGGGGGGCAAGCACCACAUGUUGAAGGAUCUAUGCAAUAUAACUUCUAUGUGAAUAUGAACAAACAUAAAUCAUUACGUUGUCUUCCUUGUCCAACGUCAACAAUUUUGGCAUAUAAUAUUUUGAUGGGGGCUCACAAUCACAAAAGAUUUCCAAGAUAGUGUAUUUGCAUGUGAAAGUUCUCUUCCUUCUACUAAUCAUUCAUGAAUUGCUUGUAUGACCAAUAUUGUGAUUGUCAAGCUUCAAAAGAUUUCACUUUCUAAACCCAAUGUGAAGCUACCACUAGGCAUGAUAUAAUUUCAACUUCAUGAUUAUUCAAUUCAUUCAACAAUUUACUCAUAGGAUAUAAGUGAAGCACAAGAGUAAAUGACAAGCUACUCCAGAAAGAUAUAAGUGAAGAUCAAGCGAGUAGUUAAGUAAAUGGGUAGCUAAUUGGGGACUCUCUCUUAUUUAAAACUUUUAGAUCUAAGUAUUUUAUUAAAACAACAAGCAAAAUGAAAAUAAAAUGACAUUUCAAGGAUAGAACAACUCAUGUGAAGAAGCAAAAACUUAGGAUCAACCGAUACUAACCGAUAAUAGUUGAUGAAGAAAGGUGGGAUGCCUACCGGGGCAUCCCCAAGCUUAGAUGCUUGAGACUUCUUGAAAUAUUAUCUUGGUAUGCCUUGGGCAUCCCCAAGCUUGAGCUUUUGUGUCUCCUUAAUUACUUUUAUAUCACGUUUUCCCUAAAUCUUAAAAACUUCAUUCACACAAAACUCAACAAGAACUCGUGAGAUAAGUUAGUAUAAACCAAUGCAAAAACCUUAUCAUUCUCUACUGUAGAAAAUCACUAAAAUUAUUAUUCAACAUUGCAUACUAAAUGCCUCUGCAUAUUUAAUACUUCUAUCCUCAAAUAGAAUCAUUAAACAAGCAAACAUAUGCAAACAAUGCAAACAUAACAUCAAUCUGCCAAAACAGUACAGUCUGUAAAGAAUGCAAGAGUAUCAAUACUUCUUUAACUCCAAAAAUUAUGAAAAUUUACCACACUGUAGAAAAUUUAUCAGAGCUUACUGUGCAAAAAAUUUCAACAUUUUAUAACAUUCUGACUUUUCUAGGGAAUUUUAGCAACAGUGGUAAACUUUCUGUUUUGAAACAGCAACAUGUAUACUUGCAAAAUAAGCAUGGUGAAGGCUAUCAUUGACAUUUUUAUUGAAAUGAAAGAUGCAAAACAUUAUUCUAAAUAACAAAAAGCAAACCAAAACAAAAUAAAAUGAUGCUCCAAGCAAAACUCAUAUCAUGUGACGAAUAAAAAUAUAGCCUUAAGUGAGGUUACCGAUAAUGUUGAAGACUAAAGAGGGGAUGCCUUUCGGGGCAUCCCCAAGCUUAGUUGCUCGGAUCUUCCUUGGAUAUUAACUUGGGGGUGACUUCGGCAUCCCCAAGCUUAGGGUCUUAUCACUCCUUAUUCUCCUCAUAUCGAUAUCUCAUCCAAAACUUCAAAACUUCAAUCACACAAAACUUAACGGAACUUCGUGAGAUAGGUUAGUAUGAUAAAGAGCAAACCAUUCACUUUGGUACUGUCAAAGACAAGAUUCAUAAUUGUUCUCACACAAUGCCUACUGUAGCAUAUCAUUUCCAUAAUUUAUAUUGAGCAAUAUAAGCCAUAGAAACUAGAAAACAAGCAAACUAUGCAUGGAAAACAGAAUCUGUCAAAAACAGAACAAUCUGUAGUAAUCUGUACUCAAACCAUACUUCUGCUACUCCAAAAAUUCUGAAUAACUAGGACAACGUAGGAAAUUUGUAUAUCUAUCUUCUGUAAAAAAAUCAGAAUUUUUCCACGUUCCAGUAAAAUAUAAGAAUUUCUGCACUGGAUGCAAAAGUUUCUGUUUUUGCACAGAAUCAAGUCAACUAUCAUCCACACUAUCCCAAAGGCUUUACUUGCACUUUAUUGAAACAAAAGCUAUAAAACAUGAUUACUACAGUAUCAUAAUCAUGUGAACACACAAAAACAGUAGGUAAAAGUGUUGGGUUGUCUCCCAACAAGCGCUUUUCUUUUAUGCCUUUUAGCUAGGCAUGAUGAUUUUAAUGAUGCUCACAUAAAAGUAAAGAAUUGAAACACAAUGGGAGCAUCAUGAAACACAUGGCAAUCACAUUUAAGCCUAACCCACUUCCUAUGCAUAGGGAUUUCGUGAGCAAACAAUCUACGGGAGCAAAAAUCAACUAGCAUAGAAAGGCAAAACAAGCAUAACUUCAAUAUUUUCAACACAUAGAGAGGAAACUCGAUAUUAUUGCAAUACCUACAAGAAAAUGUUCCUCUCUCAUAAUAAUUUUCAGUAGCAUCAUGAAUGAAUUCAACAAUAUAGUUAUCAAAUAAAUCAUUCUUUUCAUGAUGUAUAAGCAUAGAAAAUUUGUUACUCUCCACAUAAGCAAAUUUAUUCUCAUCAAUAGUAGUGGGAGCAAACUGAACAAAAUAACUAUCAUGGGAGUGAAAAUUAAAAUCAUGAUGACAAGUUUCAUGGUUAUCAUUAUUCUUUAUAGCAUACAUGUCAUCACCAUAAUCAUCAUAGAUAGCAACUUUGUUAUCAUAGUCAAUUCAAGCCUCAUCCAAAAUGGUGGAUUCAUCACUAAAUAAAGUCAUGACCUCUCCGAAUCCACUUUCAUCAUUAUAAUCAUCAUAAAUAGGAGGCAUGCAAUCAUUAUAACAAAUUUGCAUAUCAAAUCUUGGGGGACUAAAAAUAUCAUCUUCAUCAAAUAUAGCAUCCCCAAGUGUAUGGCUUUGCAUAUCGUUAGCAUCAUGGAUAUUCAAAGAGUUCAUACCAACAACUUUGCAAUCAUGCUCAUCAUUUAUACCAAACAUUAUAUUGAAUUUUUUUUCUAUCAAUUGAACACAAUUUUCCUUUCCAUCAUUUUCAUGAAAGACAUUAUAAAGAUGAAUAAUAUGAUGCAACCUCAAUUUCCUUUUUUUAUAGUUUUCUUUUACGAACCAAACUAGUGAUAAAACAAGAAACUAAAAGAUUCGAUUGCAACAUCUAAAGAUAUACCUUCAAGCACUCACCUCCCCCACAACGGCGCCAGAAAAGUGCUUCGUUGACGAGGUGUGAGUCACGCUUACCUAGCCUCCCCGGCAACGGCGCCAGAAAAGAGCUUGAUGUCUACUACGCAACUUUAUUCUUGUAGACACGUGUUGGGCCUCCAAGCGCAGAAAAUACUGUUGAAUAGUGAUGUUUUUGUUUGAGAGACACCAUAAGCAUGGGACGGCCUCACUCCUUUGCUUGUCCGCCGCUGCAGUGACUUCACCAUUAUGCUAGUCUGCCGCUGUCUAUCAGACUUUCUCGUUGGCCCCAUCCCCAUGUAUAUUCCACCUCACUCGCAACCGUGUGAGGCGUUGCCGCCAUGAAAGCUGGCAAAAUGGACAAAAAUAACCCAAAGGCAAAAGUAAGUUAAAUUAGAAAAUAAACUCUCAGCAAAACUAUUUCACAGAAAUAACCCUUUCAGGCAGCGUCCAACGCGUAUGCGCUAUGCCCCACAGUGUAGUUCCUAACGCGUAGGCGCCACUUGAAAGGGGUUAGAUUUGCGAAAUACUUUUGUCAAGAGUUUAUUUUUUAAAUUUGUUUCGUCUUUGGAUUAUUUUUGUCCAUUUUGCCAUGAAAACCUAGCUGCCGCAUUGGGGAAAUAUCUGGUACUCCCACCCCUAGGAUGCUCCCAGGGCUCCAAAACUCUGUAGCACAUUGACGCAACAUCAAAGUAUGUUGUCAAAAAAUUUAAAACGUAGCUUGAGAAACAUAAAUGAAAAUUUUGACAGUAAAUAGUAUGCAAUUUAUGUUGGGCUUUAGAUUAGGCCCAUUAUUACUGAUGUCCAUUUUGUCAUUUUUGUAUCUCGAGCAAUGUUUUAAAUUUUGAUUUGAAUUUUUCUAACAUCAUACAUUGAUGUUGUGCAAUGUGCUGGAUUUUUUUCAGAAUAUUUUACCAUUUUAAAAUGUGCUACCGAGUUUGGAGCACCGGGAACACCCUAGAGAUGGAAGUACUAGAUAUUUCCCCGUGCCGCAUUGGUGACGGCAGAUUAGUGGUGCAUCCGGAGAUGACCAUUGUUUGUGGAUCUGGCGGUGACGGUAUCGGUAUUGUGCCGGUGGCGCUGGACAUGGCGGCGGACAUGUUUCGCAUCACAAAGAUUAUGAAAUUAUAAAGGGCUUGCACUUCGGGUACCUCGGAACAAAUGACGACGGAAAUUAGAUAAAGGGUAACUGUCGUGCACAGUUUUAAUCCGUCUGUAUAAUUUUUUCUAACUCGCCAAGCGAGGCCUUAAUCUCGCCGCUUUGUCGGUUCCAUCCACAGAUAUAUACGGUAAGAAAGUAGGAAACGACACACCUGAUACGGACAGUCUGAACAGUUAGCCGCCGUGCCCAAGAAAGUAGGAAACCUACCUCGGAGUCUCAUUCGCUCGGAUGAUCAGAAAUGUCUGCACCUCGACUAUCGAAUUAUCGAUGGAAGCUCCAUGACAAAAUUUCAUUCACUAAAACAAGGAAGAAGCGGCUGUUUAAAACUAUUUACCGCACACGCAAACAGAAACUGUGAUGGAUGCACUACGGUUUAACCGCCCAACUAACCAUCUUUGGGUUACAAAACCGAGGAAACGAGGCUGAGUUAACAUCCCCAGUUUAACCAACAUGCAUAGCAAUUGCUGUUCGUCGGGCUCUAUAUAAACACGAUGGAUCAACCAAUAUCCUCACAACCACAAAUAUAAUUGCAGCUGAUUUGCAAGCAGCCUGACAGACAUGGCUAACAUGAAGCUACUAGCCGUGCUUGCUCUCGUGCAGCUCCUGUCACGCCUCCACGUCCAUCGCGUCUCCGCGUCCGUGGACAUGCCGACAGCGACCAGCGGCGGCAGCUGCCACGUUAGUGGAUACCUGCCGGGCCAAUCCGGCAACUGCAACCCGGAUCACGGCUCCACCUGCUGCGUCAACGGACACCGGUACCCGCAGUACAAGUGCUCGCCCCCUGUGUUGGCUGAGACCCCGGCGAUCCUGACUAUAAACAGCUUCGAAGAAGGUGGAGAUGGGGGCGGCAAAUCAUUCUGCGACAACCGCUACCACAAGGACAGCGAGCUGGUGGUGGCGCUGUCCACGGGAUGGCUCCGCCUGGACGGCACGAACAGGUGCAACAAGAUGAUCCGUAUCAAUGGGAACGGGCAGUCCGUGACGGCCAAGGUCGUUGACGAGUGCGACUCGGUGUACGGCUGCGACAAGGAGCACAACUUCGAGCCGCCGUGCCCAAACAACGACGUGGACGCGUCGCCGGCCGUUUGGAAGGCUCUGGGCCUCAACGGGAACAUUGGAGAGUUCAAGGUCACUUGGUCUGAUGUGUGAGCACAAAUAUGUACGGGACAGUUCGCUCCUUAGUCCUCACUUGUUAUAUUAUAUGCAGCUGCCGUAGGGGUGUGUGCGCGCGCGCAGUGCUACCGUUGGUGGCGCGGAGUUGCUGCUAUUUAAAUAAGUCACUGUUCACAUGUACUCGUAUUUGCUAUUUUCCCAAGUUUAUGUAUUUGCCUUGUUUGGGUGAUAUAUUUUGCUCCUUCCAUUCACAAAUAUAAGCUGUUUUCAGAUAUUUCAUUCAGUAUAGAAUACAUACAGAUUAAAAUGAAUGAAUAAACACACUAAAAUGUGUCUACAUACAUCUGAUUCAGAAAAAAAUAUAUUAAAACAUCUUAUACUCAUUAAUUGGCCCUUAAACCCUCCACCUCCAUCGACGGGUUUCACACCCUAAGUGGCUAAAAGUUAGUAGAGGGCUUCGUCUUCAUUGACAUGCAUUAUACUAAUGAUAGUCAUGUGUUUCUAGGGCAUAGUUUUAAAUACCGAACCAUGCAAAAUAGUGUUCAGCUCUUCAAAUAAGCUAUAGCCGGCUAUUUCAUAAUUUUAUUAGACAAUUGUACAUAAAUCCAGUUAGCGGUAGCGUGCUCAAACUGCUACAGCGGGCUAUAUCCAGCUAUUUAAAACUCUGAUCACCGGUGAGUUUCUAGGUAUUAAGAAAAUAGAAUAUUUCCAAAACUAUACAUUAAGAAAAAGUGAAAAAUAAAAAAUAUGUUAAAAACCAUAAAAGAAAAACGAACAAAAAAUAAAAUGGAAAAAGAACAAUAAAGGCAAAAAGAAUAAGAAAAGCCUCGAACUCUCGCAUAGGUCGGCCAAGGCACGCAGACCCCUGCACACGUAGUAAACACUAGCACCGAAGACAUGCGGCGCACACCGCGCCCGUGACUUAUUCGAAAGAUGUUUUCAUAUUCUGCACCCAUGCAUGGUGGGAGGGGAUCAUAUUUUGCACCAGAAAACAAAAGAAGCCAGGAAUAAGAAUAGUUAGAAAACAUAAAAAAAAAAGCUGGCUGCAAUCCCUUCGAUGGUCCAUAUUUUGGCUGUGUUCGGCAGCCCUCCACUCCUCGGUCACCGAGCGGAGCGGGCGGAGCAUCCUUUUAGCCGCUCCAUAAAUUAGAACUAGCUGC